UGGUUGGACACCGAUCUUUUCACUAUCGGGUUAGGACUUCUAAUGCUAUCGAUGGGGCUAACAUUGACAUUUGAAGAUUUUAGGAGAUGCUUGAGGAAUCCAUGGACAGUAUGUUUCUGCACUUGAAACCUUUAUCGAUUAGAUUGUCUUUUCUGUAUCCAACAUCGAAUUGAUGUAUAGUUUAUUAUGUAUGUUCUGAUGGAAUUUCUUAUUUGCAGGUUGGUAUAGGAUUUCUUGCACAGUAUUGCGUCAAACCUCUGCUAGGACUCGCUAUUGCAACGGUAACUCUAUUAUGGCAAUAAAAUGCAUAUAACCAUUAUUGCAUUUCCAAUGUUUUGUCAUCAACUAGUAUGAAAUUUCACUGAUUUUAGGUUAAGAAAGUGUUGUGAUGGAUACAAUAUAUUCUGUUUCAUUGUUUUUUUGAAUCAUGGUUAUAUUGUCGUAUUGUUGGUUAAUUCAUGGUUAUAGUCUAAAGUUUUAUCAUUGUGUGUACAGUUGGCUUGCUUAAAUAAAUGAUCACUCCUUAUAAUGUGUUUUAUUUUCCUUCAUUUUAUAUUUAGAUAAACACUUUUAUUGCUGGAUAAAGCUUACAUCUAUUAACAGUAAGUGAACAAAACUACGAUCAUGUUUCUAUCUAGGAGAACGGUAUCUAAUAGUACUUGUUAUUUCCAGUCCAAUCAAUUACAAUCUGUUGUACCUUUGUUUUGAGUUGCUGUUAUGCUGGACUUUUUUUCUAUGAUAUACAAGCUUAUUUGAGAAUUUAAUAUAAGGUGAUUUGGUACUGCCCCAUUUUAAUCAUGUUAUAUUAAGUGAACAAUGUCAGUCCAUGUCUGCCACCAUUUUCAAUAGUUUGUUGAUUCUAAAAUAUAACCUUCUCUAUUUGGAUCUUCAAUUGGGUACAUUUAAGAUGAGAUGUCUAUUCAUUGCUAAAAAGUCAUUUGACCAUAGAAUUUCUUCUACAGCAUGAAAUUUGCACUAAAGUAUCUCUAGAAGCCAUUUCAUUUUAAUUCCUGCAUUUAUAAGCACAUAAUCUAGGUGCCUUGUAUUACAGACCUUGAAGUUACCCGCUCCUCUCGCAACUGGUCUUAUUUUGGUCUCAUGUUGCCCUGGUGGACAAGCAUCAAAUGUUGCAACUUACAUAUCGAAGGGAAAUGUUGCGCUUUCAGUUCUUAUGACCACGUAAGCUUGAUGUUGCUUGUUAAAAGAAAGUAUAUUGAUUUGGACACUGCAUGCCUGCUGUCAGUUACUGUCACUAGCUUUUUAAGUUAUUGAGUUCAUCUGAUGUCAGCUCUCUUUGUAACACCAUUUCCACAAAAUUAGUGUGAACAAUGGUUGCACUCCUAAACAGUUUGCUGUUGUCUUAAUCAAAAUUUGGAUUUAUUUUGAUUUAAUUGAGCCUUCCAUGUUGAAACUUUUGAAGUACGGAAAUGUCAGGUUUAGCUAGCUUCUAUGGGAUUUUGUACUUUGUCUAGUAUCAUAGCAGUGCAUUUUUUUUUUUGGUAGAAUUUGAUGAGCAGACCAUUUAACUGUUGCAUAUCCUAUUGUCAUGUUGUGCUACUUAAUUUUUAUGCUAUGUUGCUUCCUUCAGUCUACUGCUCUAUUGCACUCUAACAUUUUACUCCCUUCAUGUUUUAGCUGUUCAACUAUUGGUGCUAUAAUAAUGACACCCCUCCUGACUAAACUCCUUGCUGGUCAACUAGUUCCUGUUGAUGCAGCAGUAAGGGCACUACAAUCCUGUCCCUAUUUGUUUCCUUAAUCUUGUCUGCUUGAGUUAAAAGGUUAUUAUGUUUGUGCAGGGAUUGGCCAUCAGUACUUUCCAGGUUGUUUUAUUGCCGACUGUUCUUGGAGGUGCUUAAAAAACUUAAUGGGAGAUUAAUUUUAUUGGCUUUAGUAUCUUAGAAAUAUUUUCUCUUACAGCUUGUGUGACUAUAUUUUUGUCACUAUGCAGUAUUGGCCCACGAAUAUUUCCCCAAGUUUACUGAGCGCAUUAUCACCGUAGCACCCCUGUUCGGAGUCCUCCUCACCACUUUGCUUUGUGCGAGCCCUGUAAGUAUAACAAAGAACUUACUAGAGUAAGGUUCAAGCAUUUGCAGAACUGUUUGGUAAUAAUUCAAAAUCAUUUUUAUAUGUUUCAUGAAAUAACAAAUUCAAAUAUUGUUGGGAUACCCCAUUUUAACCUCACCAAGCAUGUGAUGUUUCUACUCACAGUCAAGUGUGCCUAAAUUUAUCUCUUAGCUAGUAAUUUGUAAUAGUUAUAUUCUAUUCUCUUAUCUUUUUGUAAAAGUUGCUCCUCACAAUUAUAUUUUGGAUAGUAUGAAUGAAAUGCUAAUUGUUUAUACUAAUUUUGAUUGGAAAAUCAACUUUUGCAAGAUUGGGCAAGUCGCAGAAGUGUUGAAAACUCAAGGUGCCCAACUUAUUAUCCCUGUCGCUCUGCUACAUGUUGCUGCAUUUGCUCUUGGGUACUGGUUAUCGAGAUUCUCUAGCUUUGGGGAAUCAACUUCUAGGACCAUCUCAAUUGAAUGUGGCAUGCAGGUAAAGAAAUGUUGAGAUGCUCAGGUUCAAUCUGUUCUUAUCUAGCCAUAGAAAUUUGUAGCACCGUUAUUGUUUUAAUUAUUCUUACUUUUGUUUGGGAUAUUAUUAGAAAAUGGUGGGCAAGUAAAUAAUAUAUUUGGUGAAUUAUUUGUGAGUUUCUGUGCUGGUGCAGUUUGUCAUGUAGUUCUUGCUUAGACAUCAAUAUUCUGUAAAAUUAUUUUGCUGCCUGGUCUCACAAACAUGUUAUCUAUGUCUAAUGGUUGGUGAUGUUAGACAGCCUCUUGAUGAAUCUGUUUAGUUUUUCACUACUAGUAACAUUAGAUGGUUUUUUGCUAUUGAUACUCUUCUCAGUGGAAUGAGUUUUGUUGGACUCUGAACCUUCCUGGUUUUACUAGUAGUUUAGUUCGCGAAGCAUCAAAACAUUCCUUAGCUAGAUGUCUGUACAGUUAUGAAGUUUCUUCUCUUGCCUAGAGCAAUGUGGAUUUUCAAUUUAGUGUUUAACAAUGCCACUUUUUUUUGUCAGAGUUCUGCGCUUGGAUUUUUACUUGCUCAAAAGCACUUCACAAAUCCGCUCGUUGCUGUUCCUUCUGCUGUCAGCGUUGUGGCCAUGGCCGUAAGUUUCCUAGUUUCCUUCUCUUAGCCCGAUGUAUAUGUGCCACAAUUCUUUUGCACUCACUGUUAACAUUUUGCGUGGUGGCACAAGUAAAUGUGUGUUCUCAAAGGUCUUCACCUUUUUGUUCGUGACAGCUUGGAGGGAGUGCUCUUGCAGUUUUCUGGAGAAGCAUAGGGCUUCCAGCGAAUGACAAGGACGACUUCAAGGAGUGAACAAACUCAACAAGAGAACCUAUCGCUGUCACCUGGUAUUGGUUUUUAGAUGAGCGUGGUUACAUCAGAGCAGAUUCAUGUUCCCAAAUUUCAGGAAUGGAUAUCAAGGCCUAUAUUCUAUCCUGUGGGUUAUCCUUAGGGGUUACACUCUUGUUAUGUUUGUUGUGUAAUAUUUCACCUCUGCUUUCCCGCAGAGCAGUCAAAAAAGUCUUGUGGACCCUUGGGUGGUCCAAGUAACUGGUCAGUUUGUUCCAAUAGUUGAUAUGACAAUUAAGAAUUAUGAUUAUCCUGUGCUAUUGUUGAAUGCAUCGAUUGAAUUUUGAGCUACCUUUUGUCGAAGUGUUGCAGGUUUGUAAUAAUUCAAUUAUUGUGCCAAGUACAUGUUUUAAUGCUGUUUUUUGUUCGAACUGGGCCAGCCAGGAAAUUAAUUGCCUCAGAAUGAGAUUAUUCUUUUUUAAAAUGGACGAAUAUUCUUUUUUAUUAAUGCAAGAAACGAACAGAAUCAUUUGUUCAUUGUAGAAUGUAAGUAACACGAUGAAUCCAGCUGGGGAGUUCUUUUUCUGUUGAUUUAAGUAUGUUUUUUUACGCCUGCACCUGGGGGGCUGUGGCACGCUCGGGUAUUGUAUAACUCCUGCAGUCCUGCUAUGUACUCCUAGGUGACAACAUUGUACUAUGAAUAGUUAAUGGAGAAGUUACAAUAAUGUAGUAGUAACGUCAAAACCGUGGGCAGGGAAAAACUCGAACAAAACUGGUACGUCUGCGUCGCAGGCUCGCAGCAUCAGCGCAGCGCAGCUCCUGUGUGGCUGCGUGCACCUGCCAUUCUGCCUUCCCCUCAGACGGACCCCAUGGCACACUGCUCCAGCACACGCAUGCAUUGAAUGGGGCGCAUGCGCCGUGACGCGCAUACCACCAGCCCCUGAGGUCAUCGGCAACUGUACAAACGUGCAUGCCUGAGGUCACCGGCGGGCGGGUACUGUGCGAGAUACAGUAUAUUGCAGCGCUGACAGGAUCGCGUACGCAGUGGCGGUACCACUGGAUCGUGCUCGUACGCAUAUAAAAACGAUCGGCCAUCCAUCGGCGUCAAUCACCUCGAUCGCAGGAUGCGCAGGUGUGCAUCAGGGUGGGGGAGGGGAAUGACCAUCGGUAGUAUAGCAGCUCGAGAUGCACACGCGACAUUAUGGCGCUCGAUGGAUCGAUCGAUCGCGUGCCGUGCAUCCAGCCUCCAGGCAUGGCGACGGCAUCUUGCCGUCACUCCGGUGAUCCUGAUGGGAGAGGAGAGGAUCCAUCGGCGGAUCGAGCUUAUCAUGGUGCCAUCAUAAGCUCGGACGCAGUCGCCAUGCCCUCGGCCCUCGCUCGCUCAGUCGCUCUCGCCGUACCGGUAGCUGCACGCCAACUGCGGCCUGGAUUCUUGUAAUGAGACGUCAAAUCGACACGUACUGUGAAGCCUACCGAGGACCAGCUGGCCUUGUGGCAGAAACGGCGAGAAGGUCGCCGUACGCCCGUUUGGAAGAAAUUCUUCUUAUUUCGAAAUUUGGUCCACUCAGUUUUUUUUUUGCAAAAGAAUAAAAUCUGGUCCAGUCGGCGAAGCUGAUCCUUUGCGGUUUCUCUCUGAAAGCAUGUCACUAUCAGCAUCCCUCGAUUGUUGUUGCACGCCUGAAUCCUGCUGACCCCGUGGGCUCCAAACACAAAAGCUCGGUUUUACCAAUGGCUAGCAGCGAGUAGUAGUACUCCGUAGGUUGGAAUCCCGUCAUGGAGCGGUCCCCGAGAACGAGAUUUGGGGCCAGCGGUGCGCUGCACGCGCCGUGUUGCUCCUCCCGUUUUGCCCGUAUGCGCGCGCGCCGCGCGGAGCGCGAGGCAGGAGCCAUCAGCUAUCGUCUCGUCGUCUGGUCUCGUCGCGUGCACUUGAAUGGCGGAGUGGUCGCCGGACGCCGGGUGGGGCGAACGUCUGCGGCUGCCUGGCCUGGCCUGGGCGGCUGGGCGCCCGAUCCCAUCAAAGCCUUCCCGUCACGCGUUCCUCGGCGGGAAAAGCUCGUGGGCGUGGCGUGGGGGCGGUGCGCUGCGGUCCGGCCGGUCCGCGGAGGAGACCCGGGCCGGGAGGGAAUGGAAUAUCCCGCGGCGUGGAUCCUGCUCUGCAUCCGCGCGCGCACGUCGUCACGUCCGCUGGAUCGCGCCGGAUGCCCCGCCCCCGGCCUCUGCCGCGCGCAUGACCUCACCCACCACCCACGCCGCUAUACGAGGGCCAGCCGGGCAGAGGAGAGGCCCCCGCCGCCUGCAGCUUGCUGGCCGGCGGAGCUGACCUGAGGCUGACGCCACUGGCCUUUUCGAUCCGGCCAUCGCGCUGGCGAGCUCGCGUGCGGCCCGUACGCCUGGCUGCCUGGCUCUGGCUCCGCUCCCCACUGGGCAGUGGGCACUGGCCGACUGGCCGUCCGUCCCGUCCCGGCGGGGCGGUGUGAAUGAUUGAGAUGAUGAUGACGAGGUAUUUUAUCUUUUCGUCUUGUUUAUUAAUCGUCCUCUCCUUGUCAGGGGGGAGACGCAGAAAAGCAGAAUGAAUGCCCCGGAGUACUUACUUGGCAAGUCCUGCGUGCACACUUUCUUGAGUCAUCAAAUCAACCCGACUGUUCUCCUCUUCAUUUUCUUUCUGGGCAAGCAAUGACCGGAAGGUUUUCGAGAGCACGGUACCUUCUACACGUUGUAUAUACAGCCAAUACUUGCAAUACGUACAGGUAAUCGCUUCCGUUCCACAUGUGCUCGGAACACAUUCAAGGUCAAAGAUUUCACAAAGUAACCACCUUCAAACAAGUAGAGGGUUUAAAGUUUAUAAGAUGCUUAUUAUGUCACUACCGUUCCAAAUAGUAACGGGUAAGUCUUGUGUGUAUGUAUCUAUGUACGUAAGGUGACCAAAUUGAAGUUACAAAACCGAUGACCAAUACAUAGGAUCCACAGCCUGCCGGUCGCAUGAGAGUUCAACUCCAUCAGUCAAGCAUAGCUAGAAUUUUAGUGCGAUGCAAAAAAAAAGGCAUCCUCAAAGCCCCCGUUAAAAAGAACCGUAGGGGACGGAGGUUCUCACCGGACCACCGCCCCAUGUCUCUUCUUGUUGUCACGGAUCCUUUUGCCGCUCGAUCGCCAAGGCGAAGCAAGAAGCAACCACCUACACAGGACGGCGCCGGCCGGCGUUACUUUGCUCUGUCCGUGGCCGGCUUUUAUCCCCAUAUUCUGCCGUUACAUAGUUUUAUAGUCCGAUCCUACACAUGACGACGUGAUACAUCGUCGUCCUCGUCCAUCGCUUGCCGACGCCCGAAUUGCAUUUUUGGGAAUUCCCCUGCCACUAACCGCCUGGACCACCGGAGGACGGCAUGCCUAAGUGCAUGCAUGCCGGCCGGGCUAGUGUAGUGAGCACAAAAGCGAUUCCACAUCGCGAGUUUGCCGAGGUCAAGGCACCAGUUUAAUUCAGGUGCCGUUCGCGAAAAGAAGGCCAAGACUCGUCGAAUGUUUGCACUAUUGUGUGUACAUCGAUCACAACUGUGCAUGCCACAGCCUGGUUUGAUUGCCGGACGACGGUUGCAUGGCUUGCUCGCUACCACACCAGCACCAGUCGAACGCCAGAAAGAAUCGAAUCUUUGUGUGCAGUGGCUUGAGCCCUCUAACCACAGCCACCACACCACAUGAUCUAUCCCAGAUUCUAGCUAGCUUCACUGAUGGUUCUUCGACUUGUUCACCUCGAUCUCAUGUACUACUAGCACGUACGUAGUUUCUAGUUUGGCAUUGCUGAUGCUUCAGCGUGACGAACAGUACGCUACGGCCCAAGUGAUUCAUAUUUAGGGUGAUCCACGCAUACGCACGCACCUUUCGAUCCCAACUACUGCAUGCAUGGUCCAGACUAGUAACGUCUAGGCGAGCCUCAAAAGUUGUGUGUGUGGAUAUAUAUGCAUGCUUCCUUCGUCCCCGUCUUCCUUCGCUUUAUAUGCAUGGUGAUGAGAGGCCAUUGGAUUGGAUAACGCUGAGGUGGUGCCGUUGGCUGGGUCUUUCUUCCAUUUGCGGCAAUUGGCGCCAUUCGAGGAUCGAUCGGGCUACCAGCCUAGCUACCACCUCGAGAACCUGGACCGGCGUUACUGCUGCUGCUCUGCUAGCUACGUGUCAGCCUAUGAAUUCAAGAGCCUUCACCUACGGACCUACUCUACGGUCCUUUUAACUCAUCGGGCACUGCGUCGCUCAAACAGUCAAACUUGAGCACUUAACCGCAACUGGAGUACCUCAAAGGAGAAAGUUUAGGUUCAGAAAAAUGCAUGCAGGCCAUCUCGAUUUUAAUGUUCGCCCACUGCCUCAAGACGUUGACUCCUCUUUUUGGGAUAAAAUCUGUCCUUUGCCUUCUGAUAACCUUCAUGUGGGAGUACAGUAUGUGUGCUAAAUUUUCACUACAACAACAAAAAAAAAGGUGAUAGGCACUUUGCUUUAGGCAUUUUCUAAUUUGCCGCAAUAAAACUUUCUGAAAAAAUGUGUUUAAAUAAAUAGAUAUUAUGUGGAGUAUCAUAGAUAUUAUUUGUGGCACUUCAGAAGGUGGUCUCGAGUGUAGAGACACUACUUGAGAUAACCUGAAACAAAAUUGCUUGUGGAUGGCUGGAAGCACAUCUUUUACACACUUUACUUAAUUAUAAAUUUCAAAUACAAAAUAAUAUAGAGAAUUAGAGAUAUUAUUUUGGCAUUCCCAAAUUGACUCUAUCUGGUAUAUAUUGUUUGAGGCAUGUUUUAGAGUAUUUCCGCCCAUAUAGAAAUGCCACUGAUUCAGUAAUCCAAUAUAGAUGAUUCACAAAGUGUUUCUACUCUCGGAGAGUCUAAGACAAUGCAUCGGAAGGCGUUUUAUGGCAUUUUAGAAAAAAAUGACUAUGAUUACGUAGAAAUAUGGAGAGAAAAAAUAAAGUGCCUCUACAAGCCGGUUCUCUUGCAUGGAAACAUGGGGAAGAAAUCAUGCCAUACGCCCAUAUUGGUGGACGUUGGAGCGAACAAGGGAAUAGUAGUGACAGGUGGUGAGGUUGGACUUGAAAGAAGAUUGGGAGGUGUGAUUCUUCUACAGGAAUGGGAAUGAGAUAUUGCUUGACGAUUACUAGAUACUAAAUGGAGUUGAAAUUGGGGAGUACGUUAAAAAAGCCGCUGGUAGAUAAAAUCUCUACUUGUCAACUGUAGGCUCACUGGAGCUUCAAAUUUGUCUCAAAUUCGUACUGCUCUAGUACUUUACGACACCUCAAGACAAACCUAAUACGAACGAGCAAUCAUGAGCGCAUUAAGACCGGUUGCAAGAUGGCGGGCCCGGUGUUAUGGUCUUACACGAGGUGGACCAGCAGUCUAUCUAUACGUACACGUACUAAUGUACCCGUAGGCAUGCUCGUACACGUACGUACUCCUAUGGCGAGGGCCAAAGCGAGAAAGAGAGCGGUGUAUGGAGCAAAAUAGCCGAUGGAGCCGAGGGCGAGCGUGACCGAUCCCGGAGGCGAGGACCACGACCAGUAGUCCACUUGCUGGCGUGAUUAGGACGAGGGCCGGGGUCCACGGUGCAGCGGGCCGGGCAGCAGAGAAUCAUCAUCAUCAAUGAUUGAGCGAACGAACGGCGCGGGGCCACCGCCCACGAACGCACUGGCACCACCACUGCCAUAACGCGCCGGCCGCAUGCGGCAUGCCCGAGUCCCGGGGAACUUGUUGCCAAGGCGUGGCGCACGGCGGAGCUAGGGGAGCCACCCCCCUAGCUACCUUCCAGCGUGCGUGCUAGCCGUAGCCCUAGCCCUAGCCGUGGGGGCCAACCAGCCAAGGGCCAUGGCCGAUCGAUCGCGCGCUAGCUUCGGCGGUGCAUGCUCUUCUCUGAUCCUACUGCCCAUGCAUGCGCAUUUUCCUGCAUGCUCGCGGCCGCUCUAGCUAGGCCGGCCGGAGAACGGGAGAAGCUCAGAAGUCUUGCUUUCGGCCAUGUUCCACUUUUUUUUUCUAUCUCAGUGAAAAUUUACUGCUGAUCACUGAUGUUGGCACGCGCAGUGCGUGCCUGACCCCUGAUCAGAUUUUUCAGACCUUGAUCGGAUGGCCUGUGCGCCUGCGACGAGCUGGAAGGCAUGGCGCAUGCGGUACUACUCCACUGUGCAAGCCAUGCAUGCAGCGAAUCCUCGUCCGGAUCAGGGUGGCAACAUUGUCACCAGGCUUGGCAAUAAAUGUUCCCAUCAAAGCCCUGACUGUAGCUUGUAGAUGGUCGGCCGGCCGGCCACCCGGACGCAUGCAAAUUGAUGCCUGGCUCGACGUCCUCAAGCUCAGCACAUCAUUUUGAACUCAAUCAGACUCCGAGUUGACUUGUACCCGUCAAUCAACGUAUUCGCAGAUUGCGCUCACUGCUCGACCAACCGAGCUAGGGUCGGCAUUGAUGCCUGGCUCAGUGCUGCUAGCUGCGUGCUGUACGCCUAGAACCUCGCAACCGGUACAUAGGAGUAAGGUGCUCCUUUAGUCCAUGGACUAAAGUUUUAGUCCAUGGACUAAAGUUUUAGUCCACUUUAGUUCAUGAAUUAAAAAUGGAUUAAAAUGGUGUUUGGUUCAAGUGACUAAAAGUGACUAAAACCAUUAAAUGCUGUGACAAGAUUACCAUUUAGCCUUUGGAAGCUCUCCCCACCAGUUGCCCCUGGCGCAACAGCCUGGCGCCAAAUUCUGGUGGCGCCAACACCCUGCAGGCGCGCGCCAAAGCUCCAGGCGCCAUAUCACCUUCUAUUUCAUGCUGAGUAGGAACGCCAAAAUCUUUCUUGUGCCACAUGUUCAUUCCAUUUGGUAAAAAAAAGUCCAUACAAAUGUUCAUACACAUUCAUACACUCAUACAACCUGGGAGGGUGUUUUAGAGGCCUUGUCAUCUUCUUCGUCACCGGCAUCAACAUCCAGUGGAUUGUCAUAGCCGUGGCCUCCAGAGGAAGAUGCACCGCGUCCUCUUCCCAAUCUUCCUCCCCCAUAGCUCCCACCUCUGCCUCCACACCUACCGUUGGCUCCUCCACAUCCUCCACCCACUCUCCCUCCACCGGUUGCGGCGGUCAUGGACCGGCGACCACGCCCUCCGCCACCCUGUGCUCCCACCCUGCCUCCAGGGGCUAAGGAGGGAGUUGAUGCUCCAAACCAGCUGCACCCCCUGUAGGAACUCCUGGUAUGACCUAAUAUUGGGGAACACGUCGGCCUCUGAGUUGAGGUCCAGAUGCUCCAUGUGGCGGUGGGGAGCGGACAGGGAGGAGGCCGACGGCGACACGAACGAGCCGAAAUUGUCUUCGUCCGCAUCUUCCGAGGAAGUGUGGAAGCUACGUGUACUGGAUGAAGAACCCUAAUACAGGAACUCCCGGUAGUUGUAGUUAUCCAUGGGUGGGGUGCGGUGGUUGGGCGCGGUCGUGCUGGCGGCAUGGGAAGGAGAGGGAGGGGGCGGAUCCGGCGGGGGAGCUUCGGGGGUGGUGGAUCCGGUGUGUGGAGCUUCGGGUGCGGUGGAUCUAGUGGGGGAAAUGGUGCGGGCGGCCAGAAUCGAGAGGAAAUUUGGGGCAACUGGCGGGCGGUGUCAAGGAGGGGGGAGCGAGCGGAUGCCGGCGUGGGAGGGCGCGACCGCCGGUGAGAGGGCGCGGCCGCCGACAUGGAGGAGGGAGCGAGCGAUGGCUGGGUUGGGGGAGGGAAGCGAGCGGUGGUUGGGCCUACGGGGUCUGGAGGCGGGGGUGGGAGGACUCGGGGGCGGUGGAUUCGGCGGGGGAGGGCGCGGCCGCCGGCGUGGAGGAGGGAGCGAGCGGCGGCUGGGUUGGGGGAGGGAAGCGAGCGGCAGUUGGGCGUGCGGGGUCUGGUGGCGGGGGUGGGAGGACCCGGGAGGGGGGAGGGUGCGGGGGUAUGGUGUGCAGAGAAGAUUUUAGUCGGUUUUAGGAGGGGUGGGAGGGCUAAAGGAUUUUAGUCUUCUCACCUUUUAAUCUUUUAGCCAGCUUUUAGUCACCUUUUAAUCCAAAAAAUUUUAGGAGGUGGGAAUCAAAUGACCUAAGCUCAAGGAGGCGCGCACCGUAGUCUACAACCAUUCGCUCGCUCCUCUCUGCAUGCACCGCCGGCCGGCUGCACGCUCCAUUUACUCCCAUCUCAACCACCGAUUUCUCCUCUAGGACGCCGCGCGAUUGACUUGGAUGGAGCCUUUGAGUUUUUGCAGGGUGGUUUUCGCAUAUAAUGCUUCGCCAAUUACAAACGAGUCCUUAGGAAUGUUAUCGUUCAUUUUUUAAAACUUCUAUCAGCCCUCCACUCUGGCAACACCAACAAAUAUUUAGCAGUUCCAUUGUUCAUAAAAAGGGUUUCAAGAAUCUUUUAAAAAAAAGGGUUUCAAGAAAGUGAAACGUUGCAAGGUGAAGUGGAAAGAGCUGCUAGAGACAUACGAGGAGGAUGGUGUGUGGGGAUCGAUGAUAGCAACAGCUGGGGAGGCCGGCGCCAAGCAGUAGGAUGAGACUUGCUGGGGUGGUGGCAGCAGCUUGGUGGGAGUGGGCUAGGAUUAUGCAUUAAUUCGAUAGGGAUGGAGACGAUGGUGCAAAUCUAGAUCGUGUCGAAUUAAACUUUUGAUAGCAAAUAAAGUGACUAGAUUGGUUUAUAUGUAGAAUGUAUGCGAGAAUGGAUACUCUACCUGUAUAUAUACAUUUCUUCAGAACGUGAAAAGGUUGGCACGACUUGGUCUCUUUAGAACACAAUUUGAUCUCUAAUGUUUAACAUAAUACAUUGAGAAACCACAACACAAUUGUAUGAUUGUGCAAAACUAUAUUUGAUAUAAAUCUACACUUACCUUUUGUAAAUAUUCAAUGUCAGUAUAUAUACAAACUAACUGAUGAUUGGAGUUUUGAUACCUUCACAUAUCCCAGUUCCCUAAAGUCACUCUUAGCCCCCAAUAACUCCAUAUUGUUGCUUCCUAUCAUCUACUCCGUUCAUCCAAAAAGAGUAUUGUUCUAGCUUUGCCCUUAGUCAAACUAUCUUUAGUUUGACCAAGUUUAUAGUUAUGAUAUCAAAUAGGUAUACCAUGACAAUAUAUUUCAUGAUGUAUUUAAUGAUACUUUUUUGAUAUCAUAAAUAUUUUCAUUUUUAGUAUAAAGUUGGGUCCAACUUAAGAUGGUUUGACCUGGGACAAAACUAGAGUAACACUUUUUGGAGCGAAGUGAGUAUACUACUCUUAGCUUCAAAUACUUUUUUUCCCCAAUAAUAAUAUUAUUCUGUCUUUGUGUUUAGGGAGUCUCUAAUGGUUAUAUGUAGUUUUAUCUAUAAGAGUGUACAUGUAAUCUAUAUACUACACUGAAGUUAACUUCUCUAAUGGCUUACCUACAAGGUUGUCUCUUAAUUUUAUUAAUGCUUGCAUACGAUUGGUUAAUGUGGUGAUAAUUGCUUUGUUUUUUUUUGAUAAAAAUGCUUUGUUUUCUCCCAAGCAAGAACUAUUUUUGUUCUCUCCAUCCACUAAUUCUCGUCCACUAGGAUAAUUGCUAAGGUGUAGUACCACCUUAAACAACAGGAGCAACACCCAUCUUUGGACCAUUAAUCCACUAACCAACACACUUGAAAUACAGGCGGCUAGAGGGUAUAGGAUGCUCCCACUCUCCCCCCACCGCAACCACUCCUACAUUUGAAUCACGCAAGCCAAAACCGAUUGUGAAAAGUACAAAGAGUGACCUUGACACAUGCGCGCGCGAGAGUGACAAGUGCUAUUCCAAAUUUGCAACCGCAGACGACGGAGGACCUAGCUAGUAACACCCACCCACCUAUACACAAUGACUAGCUAGCGUGGAGGACCAUGCCUCACCACGAGGUGCGAGCAUUGGAGCAUACACUCACAUUUCGUUUUCCAAGCGGAAAAACCCCAUGAACUCGCGUCACACGGCUCCAUUCCACUACGAAAUAGAAGUAUUAAUUGAAAAACAAACUCCUACUCUGCCUACUAGUACCACUACUACGAGACGAGCUCGCCGGCUGCAAGAGCCCUACAAGUCUGCAGCCGAUGAAGAGUAGUACGUGCUCUCUGCCCAGAACCCCUAUAAAACCCCUCCCACAGUAAACUCCACACGGUAAAAAGAAGGACGCAGCCACACACGCACCCAUCCGGUUCCUGGCCAGCAGGCUCGAAGGCGAUGGACGGCGAGGCGCAAGGACGACGCCGCCCGGCGUGGGUCCCCGGCGCCAUCAUCGUCGGCGCGGGCCCGUCGGGGCUGGCCGCGGCCGCGUGCCUCGCGGCGCGCGGCGUCCCAGCCACGGUGCUCGAGAUGUCCGACUCGCUGGCGUCCACGUGGCGCCACCGCACCUACGACCGCCUCACGCUCCACCUCCCCAAGCGCUUCUGCGAGCUGCCCCUGCUCCCGUUCCCGGAGGGCUACCCGGCGUACCCGUCCAAGGACCAGUUCGUGGCCUACAUGGAGAGCUACGCCGCCGCCGCCGGCGUCGCGCCGCGGUUCGGCGCGCGCGUCGAGGAGGCCGCCUUCGACGCGGCCGCCGGCGCGUGGGCGGUGCGCCUGGCCGGCGGGGAGCUGCUCCUGGCGCGGUGGCUCGUGGUGGCUACGGGGGAGAACGCGGUGCCGCGCGAGCCGGAAUUCCCCGGCGCACCGCGGUUCGCCGGGCGCGUCAUGCACACGCGCGACUACAAGUCGGGCGAGGUGUUCUCGGGGAAGAAGGUGCUGGUGGUGGGGUGCGGCAACUCCGGCAUGGAGGUCAGCCUGGAUUUGUGCCGGCACGGCGCCAAGCCCUCCAUGGUGGUGCGCAACACGGUAACUAAUGAUCCCCGUGCUUGCUUACUUACUCCUAGUCCUAGCUAGGACCCGUCGUUUUCUACUCCCGUUGUCUUGCUUUGGACAGCGAAAGUACAAGUGCUGCGAGUUUUGUGCCAUCCUGCUUGAGCACUUUCCCCUUGGAUGAUUGUCUUUGCGCGCGUCGCGCUUUGUUUUUGCUGCGAUCUUUUUUGGGGCAUGCCUUAAUGUGCGUGGUCAUAUUUGGGCACGCUAAGCAUUAUUAGACCUACUAACAUGUGGUACGGUGUUGGGGAUGUCUCUGUCUUGUCCCGUGCCAUGCUCAGCACCCAUAACAUUCUUCUUCGUCUUUGUUCUCUCUUCUUUCGUUCGCAUCAGAAAUUAAAGCUACAAGUAUGUGAUGCGUUUUGCGCAGGUCCAUGUGCUACCCCGGGAGAUGCUUGGCCUCUCCACGUUCGGCAUCGCCAUGGCGCUGCUCAAGCUGUUCUCCGUCCAGGUAGUCGACCGGAUCCUCCUCGCGGCGGCGCGGCUGACGCUGGGCGACACGGGCAAGCUCGGGCUGAGGCGGCCCAAGACGGGGCCCAUGGAGCUGAAGAACCUCACCGGCAGGACCCCGGUGCUGGACGUCGGGACGCUAGGCCACAUCAAAACCGGCAAAAUUAAGGUUAGUGGCAGCCUACUUGCAUUUACACCAUGCUUUCACCAAAGGAGAGCAGCAGCAGUAGAAGAAGAAAAUCACCACACGCACGACCAGUCAAACCAUGGGAAUUUGAACCCCGGGCCGGGCGCGGUCGUGGGCCUGUGCCUCAUCUGGCAUGCCAGCCCGGCUUUAAGGCUCGCCUUGCUCACACACACACACACACACACACACACACACACACACACACACACCAAUUCUGCGAUUGGUUUCCCCCUGAGAAGCGGGCUCUGUUUUUAACCUCUCGUCCUGCAUCAAACCUACCGCUGAAUGAGUUGCUGAUGCGAAACAUGAUCGCCAGGUAGUGGGAGCAGUGAAGGAGGUGACCCGGAGCGGGGUCAGGUUCGCGGACGGCAAGGAGGAGCAGUUCGACGCAAUAAUACUGGCCACAGGGUACAGGAGCAACGUGCCGUCCUGGCUCAAGGUAAAUUCACCUCCCCCAUUCCUCCUUCCUAGUACUGCAACGAGGGGCAAGGCAAAGAUGAAAAGUGACGCCGGCGAAAAGGACUCGCUUGUUUGUUGGUUCGGGGCCCUGCCCUUUGCCGAGCAGAGCAGCAGCUGCUGCAGCGCGCAUCAUGUCGUCACCCCUGUUCGGCCAUCCUGCCCCCGUUGCCCUUCUCGUGUAUGCCGGGCGCGCAGGCGCAGCUCGUGCCCCGCGCUGCGCCGCGCGUUCCUUUCUCCCGAAGUGUUCACCCGCGCCCAAGUGAUCGAGUCAGUGAGUCACCCCGGGGGUAUGGGCGCGGGCACAGGAGCAGGGGCCCCAACGCUGGCUUGGCGCUGAUCCAAGGACUAGGGUGAGGACGACGGGUUCGUAUACGGACUCGGGAGUUUGGAUAUACGCUUUGGGUCCAGUGGAUAGAUACUUGUCGAUACCUCAAGGUGAACGGUCGAUUUGUAUGCAACGUGUGCAACGAGAAUCAGCCAAGUUAAUAACUUGCUGCAUUUACAAUAUUUCUUCUUCAUGUAGGAGUAUACUGUUUGCGACCUUGCUCAUGAACCUCGUUAUCUUCUACUAUGCAGGAUGGAGGUGACGUGUUCACGAGAGAAGGCAUGCCCAAGACCCCCUUCCCCAACGGCUGGAGAGGGAAGAACGGGCUCUACACCGUCGGAUUCUCUCAGCGGGGGCUGCUCGGCGCGUCGUCCGACGCCCUCAACAUCGCCAGAGAUAUACAUUGCCAGUGGAAGGACAUGGGCAGACCCGCUAACAAUAAUGUGCUCCAAAGUGACGAUACUGUUUGACUCUCGUGUAAAUGUACAGUACGCAAGUGGUUAUAUUAAUGUCUUCAAAAGGUACCAUUUUGUGUGCUUACGACAGCAUGAUUUUCGCUUACCGAAUUGGCCAACUUAAAAGCCUUUUAGGGCACGAUUGGUUCACUGCCGAUACUAACCAAACCAAAUUUUUGGCGUGCGCAUAAGUAACUUGCUCCCUCCAUCCAUCCAUUCCAAAAUAAGUAUCCUUUUAGUAUUCAAUUUUUGUCACAAAGAAUGUACCUUUAGCUUCUAGUAAGACUAAUCUAAUUAAAAGAACACUCACACAAAUAAAAUGGAACAUAUAGAGAAGCGUGUAGCACCAAUCAAAUGGCUAAUUGAUGUUAUUUGUUAUGACUACUAUUGUGUCUAAAUUUUCUAAAAGGACACUCUUUGUGGGAUGGAGGGAUUAGAGUCUAAUAAUUGCAUAUUAAUAUCCGUUCCAAUUAAACCAACAAAACAAGAUAUCACUCAACUAUAUUUCGAUACAAAACAAAAUAAUGACAUAUGGACCCUACAUUGCAUACUAAGAGACGAGUAAAUUUUGCAAUUUUUGGCAAGCUAUAAUUUAAACACAACUUUGCUAACGUUUUGGUGUAGCCCAUAGUUUGGUCGCGACCAAAAUUUGGCUGGACUAGAUGGGCUUAAACCAAACAUGCCCUUUGAUAGAAUCAAUCGGCGAUGGUCAAUAUGACAUGGUAAAACUCAUAGACUCAUGUUUGUGAUGUGGAUUUAUUUUAUGGUAUGGAUCAAUUGAUGAUCAUCCUUCUUAUUUUACGUGUUAACUUUGUUACAUAUUAGUAGUACCCAUUAUUAAUCAUAGUCGUUGAAGUGGACCGUUAGGUCAUGUGGUUUUUUCACUACCAGAUAGUCUCAUACAUAUCGUCUUCUUGCAAGUGCUGGCAAUCUAACGACACAAAUAGCUAGUAAGCGAUGGUAAUAUGUUGACGCUCAAGAAUAGAGAUAAUUUAUUGUCUUUCAUUUUAGUUACAUACCACUUGGGCCCAUCUAGAACCGUAAGUCCAGGAAAGAUGAAGCCCAAAAGACCCUAUUUGAACCCAUGUUGGCUGGCAUGGCGCAAAUCUCGACCUUGUGUACGAAGGCAACGAACCUUAAUCUAGGAGGCUUCUAAAAGAACUUAACACUUACAUAUCCAAAACUUAGUAUGAAAGAUACAUGGGAACAUGAAAAUGGAAGGUGUAAUGGCCGACACACCAUGCAUUGUGCUAACCAACACAUAAUAUUUUGACGUUGAUUUGACGUACCAUUUGAACCAGAGGUUUACAUAAGAUCUCAGGACUAACAUGCCUGAAGAUGAGUGAAAUUGGAACAUGGGAAGGUGAAAAAGGGAAGUGAACCAAUCGGUUCAUCCACUGAACUAACAGACACAAUUUGAUUUGGUGUUGGUUUGCUCAGGGUAUAAAUAGAGGGGGUUCCUCGAUUCAAAUCAGGGAUCCAUCCACUAGAAUUUUAUAAUAAAACCAAAUGACACGCACCAUACGAAGUUGAUGGCACCUGCAAGUCUUUGAUUUGUCUAGGAUAUGACUUAGGCUAGAUUCUAGCCAGUGUGAUCACCCUGAGUGAAAUGAUCAUACUGGAGUUUAGGAGCUACAUGUUUCAUCAUUGUAGAUAUGAUAUAUAUAGGUGGUGAUGAUAUAAUGUAUACAAUGUUGAAUAGAGUUCAUCAUGUCUUCCGAUCUAUUACCGACUGAGUGUUUACUUUUAUGCUUUCUACUAUCAUGGAUAUGAUUAUUCCUAGCGCAAUUCUAGAUUAGACUUUUAGCAUGCUUUAUGUAAUCACACUGAUUAGAUUUAGUGUAUCUGUCCUCCAUGAUAGCUAGACAUGUGCUUAAAAUACCCCCCUUAGAGAGCUCUUUGUGGUCAUGUCUAGAAACCUCUUGCACAUAAUGGCAGAGUGUGGCAUGAUCUGGGCUUAAUAGGGCAGUAGUACUUUGGGUUAGACCGAAGGUAAUAGUUUAAUAACUGUUUUUGGAUGAGAUGUUUAAUUUACUUGCUCUUUGGCUAAAGCUAACUACAAGACGUUUGGCUUAAGUUAACUUUGGUUCUGUUACAUAUCUACCUAUCUAUGGAUGUAAUCCACUCAUGCAUAUAUAGCUACCCUAUAUUGGGGUUAAUUUUUAUAUAUAUACAAUCUGAAUUUCAUGAUAAUAUUAGAUCUUUUAAGUUAUCAUAAAGCCUUAGAUUAGUUUGCCGCCGAUAUUUGUGGAUUCGGUUAAAGCCUAGAAUACUCUUGGGGGAAGCUACAAUUGUCACCAUGUACUUGACUUUUGCUUAUGGCGAUUACUUACAUGUUUUCUGCAAUUGCAAUUGCCAAUGAUAAGGGUGAAGAAGAAUCGAGAGGGUGUCAAACGGGGACAAAUAGACAAUCUUCACUUUGUCUUAGUUUCAUGCAACAAGUCAAUGUUAUUUUAAUAACUUGUACAAAUCAUCUCCAUAGAUGCAUGUAGAUGCAUCUAUAUAUCUUUUAUGACAAGAUUGCGUCCAACAUCACGUGUUCCAUUUUAUAGCGCGACCACCACCAAUGUCAAUAAGAGUAUAAGAGAUCUUUCUACUUCACAGCUUACCACUGGCAGUCAUUUGUUGCUGCCAUCUUAGGCCCAAGUCAUUAUUGUACACAUAGAGCAAUCAUUACCCAUGUAGACGUGCAGGCCCUGCCUUUCAUGUGGGGCAGGACCUACUGCCGGCACCACAAGAAGGUGAAGCGUUAGUGAUCACAUCAGAAGCUGCCCCAUCUGUAUGUAAGGGAGUACUUUGCAUCAUUGAAUAAAGCAAGAAAGAUGUUAUAUUUUGUUCCUAAUUUUUAUUAGCUUCCGUGAUUAUAUUCAUGUAAUAGUACUUGUUCUCUAAUAUCAAAUUUCGUAGGUUAGGAAUUUGGGGUUUUGGCUCAAAUUAUUGGCUGUUCUUUGGCUCAUAAGCUUGCUAGCUAUCAACUGGUGCAUAUGCAAGUACACAACAUGGAAAUGAUAUCUGUCCAAUUGAACCAAUGAAAUCAUAUAUCCUGGCAAGGAAGACAUGUCCUGCUAUUCAUGUGUCAGCUCAACGUUGGGUUCAUGCCAAAAGAAUUAACAAAGAACUGACUUUCCAUUCGGAUUUGAACCUGUCACAAUUUCUAAAUUCAAGGUAUGAGCUCUUUCUUUUUCAGAUCUAUAAUAAAAAAUGUCUCCCUCAUAAAUUAACUAAAGUGUUAUUCAUGGAGGAAACUGCCAAUGUUUAGGUUAUUGUGCAGAUUAUCCAUUCUUCAUGAAACUAAAUGGCAACAUUUUAAUAAUAAACAUAGAUACUACAAGAAUUUGAAAAUCAUUAUUAUAAUAGUAUUUCAACAAUUAGUAGAUAAUAAUUUAAUCUUACAAUUUUUUAUAGGUUCAUCCCUACACAUGAUUUUAUCAUCUGCAAUAUUAUAUUUACAAAUCAAAUGCAUACGCCAAUUUUAUUUCCUUCCAUUUCCUGCUCUAUGCAAGAUAAUAACAUUAGCAUUGUACUACACAGUAUAUAGACUUGUUUGAGGACUAAAAAAAGUUGCCUCUAGCUACCGCACUUUGUUUCUUCUUUCUUGUAUGUUGAUACAACCGAAACUACACUGUAUGUUGAGCCAUGAAGCUAUUACUUAGGUAGGGGUAGACAGUGUUGUCUUAGAAAGUUUCUAGCUCCUCUGUUAGUAAGAAAUGGUAGUCCCCCAAGGCCAUGAAUCAAUUAAUAUGAUAAACACGUGGUACAAAAUAUUGGAUUUUUACAUUUUCUGCUGUUUGGUUUUGUGUGUUUAUGUGUAUCUUUUUAUUUAUAUAUAUUCUACUUGAUCAUAUUGUUCAAAUUUUUUUUACAGAAGGGGCUGGAGCCCAUAUAUUUAGAUUGCCAUGAAGUUUAUAAAAAUCACCCUGGAGAAGAUCAAAGUUACAACACGCCUCAGCACACAAACUCCAUUGCACAAUCUUACACAAAGGACCCAGAAGAAAAAUAAAUUUGACGUAGCAAUCCUCGGAUCCUCUGCCGCUGCUCCUAGUUGGAGCGCCGUAAUCAUGAUCCGCCAGAGUCAGGGAAGGAGCACCGUAAUCGGGAGAAGAGGAGCUCCACCAAGCAGCCCAACGAGACCUCCAGCUUUUUAACGCUGCAAGACAUCUCUCCACUGGGGUAUAUUGGCAGUCACUGUUGGAUUCUUGGCUAAGUAGAAGACCGAUGACGCCGACGAGGUCGACGACCCGGAAAAGGAAUCGAGCGACAACAUAGGAGAACAAAAAAGGAACCCCGUUGACCUGGAUAGAAGGCAACCCUAGCUAGAGGACAGAGGAUCUCCAAUCCCAACCGCGCAUAGGGUAGAUAAAACAUACCAAAACAUAUCCGCACUAGAAAUUGUAAUUGUUAUUUUAUAGAUUGUUCGGAUUUUUAAUCUUGUCUCUCUACAUUCUAAUAUCAUUUCAUUUUUCUGUAGACUGACAUAUAUACUUGUGCACGAACUGUGAAGAGCUUAAGUAUUGCUCGUGAAACCCCAUCUUCUAGGGCUAUACUAUUUGAGCUCUCUUACCAACUACUUGCUGCCAUGUUACGAUGGUGUGUCACAGUUGCCUUUUUAACUUGCUUGUGUUGGCCUUUUCUUUUGAGGGCAACUUGCUUGCUGCGUUGAGUUAGUAUGUGUUGGACAAUUUAUGAAGAAACUGGGUUUGAACAUGGAGUCCAUGCGUUUCUUUACCAAAGGCUUUCAGUAAUCAAAUCAAUCAGUGCACAGAAAAGAGUUGACCUAUAUACUAUACUUAGAGCAGCAAACUAAAAAAAAUGCCAGCAGUCGCUGGGCACACCCCUUGGCACAGAACCUCUUUCACGCGGUGGUUGGCGUGCAACAUCAAAAAUUCGAAGUCGACAUACAGACAUCUAGAGGCAGGAGUGCGCCAGUGUAUCUCAUUCAUAUACAUACUGAAUGCUAAAAGUAGCGCUUGGCUGAAGCUAUCCCACAAAACGGGAUGCACGGCGAUGCGGUCGAACGCUCACCCAACAUGGUGUCGCACACUUGGAUACAUGUCCUGGAACCGUCCUUGGGAUCAAUCGGCUUGAUCUCAACGCUUAGCUCUAUCCCUCGGCCCUGCCGGUCGCGCACCAUCUUGUCGCACAGCCUCUGGGACAGUAAGACGCCACCUUUCGGCAGAGACACGUCCAGGUCCACGGCCGACCACCUGCCCACGCAGAAGGAAGGCAGUCUGCUCCACCCGACGACGCUCGUCUCGUUGUAGUACAUGACCACGGCCGUGUUCUCCCAGCAGACUCGCCGCAUAUGCUGUUGUUGUCCACAUGGAUGGUGAGGCUGAAGGCCGGCGCCGAGACAGACGCAUCAAGGCUCUCGAGACCUUAAACUUGGACAGAGAAGCGAGGGUGCACGUAGCGAACCCGGCCUAGCAGGUACGCCGAGCCACAGAACAGCAGGACGAAGGCGCAGGACCACCAGGAGCCAUGCAACGAAGGGAGGAGUUUCGCCGUUCUCGCCUCGUUGGUCGGGUCUCACUCUCGCGUAGUCGGCCAUGACACCCCCGAGAUCGAUCUGUGAACGAAUCUCAGAGAUAGCCGCCGCGCCGGUCUGGAAUAUAAGGGGGUGUUUGGAUACACCCUCCUAAACUUUAGGACCUGUCACAUCGGAUGUUUGGAUACUAAUUAGGAGUAUUAAAUAUAGUCUAAUUACAAAAUUAAUUGCACAGAUGGAGUCUAAUUCGCGAGAUGAAUCUAUUAAGCCUAAUUAGUUCAUGAUUUGACAAUGUGGUGCUACAGUAACCAUUUGCUAAUGAUGGAUUAAUUAGGCUUAAUAGAUUCGUCUCGCGAAUUAGUAUAGGGGUUCUGCAGUUGGUUUUAUAAUUAGCUCAUGUUUACUCCUCCUAAUUAGCGUCCGAACAUCCGAUGUGACCCUCCUAAAGUUUAGGACUUCGUAUCCAAACACCCCCUUCUAUAGCACGCGCGCCACGCAGCCAGCUAGGAUCCGUUUCGGUUGGCCGGUGUUCCGAGCUAAUCGUCGUCGGACUCCCUAAUCCGAUUCGAGUCCAAGUUCAAAAACCAGUACCACCUUUCGAUGCAAUUCAGUGCUCUGAGUUGCAAGUUUUCUUCUUCGUUAAAGAAGAAAUUCGACUUCGACAGAAGGCCUAUGGCACGCCGAGUGUCGACUAGGAGCAGCAUAGUGCAUCUUAGAGCUAUGAGAUCGGAGUUUAUAUUUCAUCACGUAAUCUUAUUUAUAUAAACAGUUCACUCAUCUUUCUCCUUAUAUGAUAUAGCAGUGCUCCUGCCCCUUUACGUUUAAAAAAAAUCAGUACCGCCGCCUCUGCCCACGCAAGACCCGGAUCCGUAUGGAUGACGGAAACAAUUGCAAUAGGUGACUAUAAAUAGCACAGGGCCAAUACAUACAUGGGCUAUAGGCACGAAAUUUCUCCAGACGCGCGCCCUGGCUACAAACUUCGCUAGGCGAGCCAUGGAAGGUCUCCGACGCGUUGGACACCCGUUCUUGGACUUCGCUUACGAGGGACUCCCUGCCCGCCACGACUCUAGGGUGAAAUUCGCGCUAGACUUCGUAGCAAUGCAGCUUGGCCUCGCGAUCUCUUGUAUCUAUGUGCUCGCGUCGGUGAUCUUUUGCUUGGUAAUGCACCAUAAUAUCAUGUACUCGGUGGAAGAUGCGUCGUCUGGACACUGCUAACAGGUGGAGGUCACCGGCAUCGAGGCAUCAGGUCUUCCGGGCCCGCAAGACACGACACCCUCGUCGCCGCUGCGCUUCAACCUCACUGCCCGCGUCGUCAACCGCAGAUCGGACACGCCGAUAUGCCUAAGAAACUGGCAGGUUGAUGUUUGGCACGCUGGAGUACCAUUUGGUAAGGCCUACUUCCCUGAUACGUGCUUGGAGGCCGGGAUGUCACAGACAGUAUUGAAGGCGUCUGCGUCGAACUCCGAGCUGCGAGGGCUGCACGGUGAAAUUCUUCAGCACCACAUGGCGAGCCGCACAUCACCUGGACACCUUAAUAAAGAACUGGUUGAGACGACACUCAACCAAUGUACAAAAUAGUAAGCUAUGAGAUUUAGCGUAGCGCUGUCCGCUAUAGUUCACUAUAGUGUCGCUAUAGCCCACUAAUUAGUACAACACUGUUGUAACGGUAGCUAGCAUCAACCGCUAUAGCCUGCUAUUUCAUACAUUGCACUCAACUACUUCAACGACCAUGAUCACAGAGGAAAGUUCGACCGGCUAUGGUGUCACGCAACAAUGGACAUGCAAUCGCCACAAUCUCCGUGUCGCAUUCACAAUUUAUGGCCUCUGGCAAAGUAGAGAGAAAUCUUCCUAGGUCAUGUGUUCGUUCUAUGUAUCAUUGGUAUACCAACGGGUCUACCAAUGGGAAUCAAGUAAUUAUAUUUAAUUUCUCCUAGCAAGAAAAAGAAGAGUACUAUAAAAAAUUUGUGAUAUAUACACAUGCCGAUAUGCGUGCGUAGCGCAACAGCGGUGCCAUGUAUACGAGACAUAUAUUCUUCAUCUUUAUUUCACUGGAAUCAGAUAUAUAAUAUAUUCUCCAUCUUUAUCCUUAAUAUGAUCCUGUAUUAAAUUAUGGGUUUCACAUAUAACAUAUUUGUCUUCUUUUUCUAAUCUGUGUUGCCCAUUCUCAUAUUAUUUUGUUGACGUGCACUUCCUUCGUUCUAAAUUAUAAUGCACUUUACCUUAUCAUAAAUGAAACUUAUUUAACUUCAACCAAGUUUAUAGAAAAAUAUCUACAACUUAAAAUUUAAUUUUAUUAAAUCUACCAUAAAAUAUAGUGCAUUUAUUUUGAAUUGUUGAUGUUAUUGUAUUUUUGUAUAAAGUUUAUCAAAAUUAGUCAAUUUUGACUUUAGGAUAAAACUAAAGUGAACUGAGAUAUUAACUUUUUGUGUACUUUGACAAGUAACAUAUGUUUCCUGUUUUUUUAAGAAAAAUAUCAAAUUUAUACCCUCCAACUAUGAUGAUGUAGUCUAAUUUUCAGACCUGUAUGACAUAAUCGGAAAAAAUUGGCCAGUGGUUAUGAAGGUAGUUUUCUAUUUUCUAAAAGUAAUAAGCAAUUGGUUUAAUAAAAUUCAUGACUAAUUUAUUUCAAAUUAGAAAAAUAUGAAACGUGUAUGUGUUUUUUCUCAAAAAAUUUAAUCUAUCUUUUGGUGGUAUAUUUUGUACUUAUUUUGGAACUUAUUUGUUACUUCACCCUAUUAUUUUAUUGCUAGCACUUGUGCCAAUUGCUUAUUUAAAUUAUUGUUUUUGCAUUGUAUAAAACCUAGAGAUGGACCAAGAGUUUAAGUGGACUGUAAGUGUACACAGAAGAUCUAGAAGACGAUACCAACCACACAAGUGCCAUGCUCCACUACAUAUAGAUCCUAUUAGGCAUUUCAUCACUACAACUUUACUUUAUGUGGUUACAUGAUUAGGCUAUAGGUUUUAAACAAGGCUGGGGAUCAAACAUCAAGUAAUCAACUAUUUGGAAAAUGACAAUUUAAGUAAAUAACAGACAUGACUAGACCAACAAGCAGUAAAACACAAGGAAUAUGAGGAAACAAGAUCAAAUAUAGGUACACUUUUAGAAAAAAAAGGUUGAUUCUAGUUUCAUAUUUUUAAAUUUGAAACAAAUUAGUUGUGAAUAUUUUAGAUUAAAAAAGUUCUUAUUAUUCCUAAAAAAUGGAAAACAUUUUUGAAACCACAUAAAGGACCAAAUUUGUAUGGGUUUAGUAGUUGGAUGGUGCUCGACGUGAUUUUGUGGUUUAGGGUUGAUUGAAAUAGUUGAUGGGUGUAAAUUGUGCAUAAUUAGAUUCCAUGAUGACCAUGAAUGUGCGUGCAGCAUGACGGUGAUGCCUCUUGCUAGGAGCACACCCACCCGAGUUUGAUUCCUAGCGGCAACGACUCUGGAUGUCCCACUGGGAUUUAUUUUCAAAUUUAAUUCUGCAAUUUCUGGACGUAAACGUGGAGUCAUAAUGGUAUUGUGACAUGCUCGUCACCUAUGAAGCGCUGCAUGAUUUCAUCGAUAACCAGAAGGAUGGGUGGUGGAUGUAUAGUUUGUAGGUUUAGCAUAUGUGAGUGUGUGUGGGUGUAUAUGUGUGUUUGUGCGUGCGUUCAGAUAUUAAAGUGGUACCUUAGUUGUCAUGGCUAAAAAAUUAGUCAAUUAUGGAUAGUGAGGUUGAAAGCCAUCACAAAGACAAUAGAAUUGCACAGUGAUGCGCCUGACGUGCCCAUCAUCUUCGCUUCACCAAGCUCUUGAUACCAAUUGUUGAUUUUGCUCAGAAUCACAAACGAAUUUGGAGAGAAAAGAAUUGAAGGAAAAACACACACAAUUCCAGAACUGCAACAGCUUAGCUCUUCCUCCUUUUCUUUUCCUACGUCCUCAAAAUACUGAUGCUUUGCUCUGCUUUUAUAGUCCAAACAGAAGCAUAGCACUUGUACUUGGAAUACAACUCUACCUUGAUCGUGCGGACAUACAAGGCUCGAGGCCAUCUCAUCUAUGGUCUGAACUUCCUUGUUUGCACAUCUACUUCCUAAACUAGUAUAUGGCAAUAGACUCUAAAUCGGACUUGAUUUGAGUCCUUGCUUCUGACGUGCAUGUUUUUCAUACAGAUACAUGCAUGACCAGUCCUACAAGGACUCAAAUACAUAAUGCUUGACUACAAGUACGUUUAAUCUACUUGCCUACUUUAAUAAUAAACUUGAACCAUGCCUAAAUAUACAAAAAACGAGAUUAAACCCCACAUUCUAAAGAAAGAAAGUGGCCUCGGACAACCUACUUAGGCAAACCAUGGGCACUCAUAUGGCGCAAAUGCUCCAUAAUAAGGAUCUAAUCCACAUGGACAUCGCCAACAAUAACCUCUUUUUUUCGACUCAAUCUAAUGUAAGCAUCAAAGAUCAGGCAGGGAUGAAGAAAGUGGUGAAGAAGUAGGGUGUCAUGUUGUUGUUCUAUUGCUUGAUGCUAACUUGUUCCUCCUCUUGUUACUAAGUUUCUCCAUAUACUUGCUCUUUGUCUUCAUGUUAGGAUAAAUAUUUUAUUCGUUGAUGAUUCUGGUGAAGAAGAAUAGGAUGCUAGUGGAGAAAAGGAGGUAGUUAAAAAACAUUUUUUUUUCUUUAGCAACGGAAAAUGUAGAGCCAUCCUACAUGAUCAAUUGAUUGGAUCUUGGUUGAAGGGUGAACAUCGAUGUAUAGAAUAUUUAUGGUCCCAAGUCAAUAGGUUACUACUUUUCUACUAUGCUUUGGGAAAUUUGUUUGCUUGUCAGCUGCAGUACAUGUUAGGCUCUAGCUUUGGAUGUUGGAUAUUCAUCUAUACGAUGUUGUUGUUUAGACCCGCAACCUAUCGAAUGUAUCCCAAGAAAGUAGAUUGGUUAGAUGGGUUUGUUGAGAUCAGCAACUCGAUGGUGAAGGCGAGACACGAUUUAGAUAGGUUCAUUGAAUAUUGUAAUACCCUACGCCAUGUGUGGUGUAUUGCCUUGCAUUGGGAAUUGGGAUUGAUUGAUUCUUUAGGGUCCCUGCCUAGCCUUAUAUCCGAGGACUAUGUUACAAGUCAUUUGUACACAAAUCCUAGUUGGCUAAGACGGGCGAAGUCCUAAUCUUAUACAAAGGAGUACUUUUCAUUUAUCAGACUAGUUUUAUUCUUAGUAUGGUUGACUACGUCAUCCUGCACCGUAGUCUCGAUCCGAGCAUGUGGGUUGUCCUAUCUCCAUUCUGAAGUUGUCCAUGCCACGCAGUAGGUUGAUGGAUCUCAGUUCGUCACAUGAUGAGGUGCAAUUUCCUAGAUCAUUAUUCGUAUGAUUGAAAAGAUUUUUUUAAAAAAAUGCAUCCUGAGGGGUUUAGAAUGGCUUGGGUUCCGUUUAUAAAGGAUAGCAUAAACAGUAUGCACAUUUUUAUCCUCUAGGGAGAGGGAUCGUGGCACAUGUAAUUCUCUCACUAUAUGUUUGUGCUUUGAUACCUAUAUUUGAUUUUGGUUCUUGAAGUCAAGUCCAUGCAUGAUUAUGGUGGUGUGAAUUAAAUACCCUAUUAUGAAUUUGAAAUUUAAAUUAAUAUGCAUUGUGUAAAGAAUAUUUUAGCCAAAUUUAUAUAGGCUGCUCACAACUUUAAGAUUAUCGUAUUAAUUUAUGUAGCCUUCGCAUUGUUUAUAGGAUAAUGGUACAUAAGAACUUAUAAAAUUUAGAUCAUUAAUAGGACUGUGACCUAGUGUCAAAUAUAUUCUUUUAAAAAGAAUUUAUAGACCAUGAAUAUGUUAAUUUAGGAUUUUAAAAAAUUAUUAGAUAUUUUGUUGGUCAGAUUAUAUUUGAAUACUUUGAUAUUAAUCAUACAUGUUUUCAUGUUGUAGCAAAUAUUUCAUAAAUCUAUCUAAAGGUGAAGUACAUACUAAAUGUUUGGACAUCUACAUGGAGUACAAUUAUAGUUCUACUUAUUUUGUCUCUAAAGGUAAGACACAUGUUGACACAUGUCCAAAGCACAAUAUACCUUACCAUGUUUUGCCAAGAAGUGAAUGCCUCACCAUUUAUAUAGAAGCAAAUCAGUGGUUGCAUGAACAAAAUCAAAUCUUUGUAACACUCUUUCUAUUACUAGAUUCAUAAGAAUUAUCAAUUAUUUCACUAUAACAAUUCACUUGUUUUAGUCAAUUUUGAAGAUCAAAACUUUAUUUGGAUGAUAUUUUUUAACAUCAAGUGCACACAUUUAUUGGACAUUUACUUACUUUUUAGAUGCCUUGGUUAUUGUUACACAACUUCUUCUACAUAUCUUGAGUUUAGAGUUAACAAUUAGAUUGUAUGUUGUUAACUUAGGUAUAUAUGUAGGCCAACUGUUUGUUAGCUCAACCCGAACAUGAGAUUUUUUGUUAUUUCAUAGAAAAAUUAUUAAUUUCUAUAUUGGUUAUCCAGUAGCAAACAUAAUAUAUUAUGCCUCUUGGGCUAUGUAUGGUUGUUUUCUCAAUCUUUCUAUGAACAAACAGGGCAAGCAUAUUUCAAACACUUACUCUCUCAAUUUUUCUAUGGACAAAUGGAAAAACGAUGCAUUGCUUUUAUAAAUUAAAAGUCUAUACUUACAAAUGAUACUAUCAACAUAUUUGAUGAUAAAAUGCAUUGUUAACUCAUGGGAUUUGUUACUAUUUCCUUCAAGUUUUGCAUCAUGAAUAUAAACAUGACCGAUACUAUUAUUGUUAUUGUAAUACUUACCAAUUUGCCAUGAGUGGUAUUUUCACACCAAGCACGCUACUUGUAUAUGGGGUCACUCUUAUAAUUUGUUCAAUAGCAAUUGUUAUGGUACUCCAAAAUGAGUAUGGGAUAGACGAAUAUAACUAUUAUAAUUGUCACGCUAAUAGAUGAAUAUAACUAUUAUAAUUGUCACGCUAAUAGAUGAAUAUAACUAUUAUAUUAAAUUUAUUUUUUUUGGAAAAUAGGAUAAAUAAGGGAAAAAUUACUAGGUAGACCUAACUUUCCUAGAUGGCCUAUUAGAUCUAACUUCUUGCAUGAUGUAUUGUGAUAGGUGCGUUAAGUGACAACUAAUGUAUCUUUUUUUUUUGCUAGUGUGUUAAAAAGAAUAACAUGACCUAUCAUGAAGUGUGUGACAAACUUGAAAGAAAACAUGUAUUAAUCAUGUUUCAUGGGAUAUUUUGCAUGCGACAAACCAUAGCUGAAAAUGUGCCUUCAAACCAUGGUGAGUUCUCCACAUGUGAUACCUCUGUUAAUGGUCAAGAUGUGACAUGCAACAUGUUAGGUCCAUAUGUAUUUUACCAAGUGCAUAACUACAAAAGUGAGUAACGAUAUAUAUUUCGUUCAUUCAAGACUUUGUUUGGAGUAAACUGCAUUACUAUAAAAGUAACACACAACUUGCAUAGCAGGUUCACACAGGUCAUAUAGUUUGUGUCACACCCGGGUUUAUAAACACAACCAAAUGUUCACUUUAUGUAUGUCAUGAUCAUAUUACAUACAUAAAGUUUGAGUACAUCAUCUGAUAUACAUUGCCAUAUCAUGUUAAAACAUCACAAAAUGACCUAGCGGUCCAAAAGAAAAGUACAAUUAUUGCUUGUUAUCUUGUGCAGAAGCAGGCUCCAUGACCACAGACAAUCAACCGGGGGUUCACACUCCUAGAUCUUCAUGGCCUUCAUCACUUGAGCAGCAUUUAUGGAGGGAGAGAGAGAGAGAGAAUAGUAGAGGUUGAAGGGGAAAAGUGUGGGAGGUAAGGAAAUGAAGGUUUAGAUCAAGAACUAGCUGCAAUUUGCAAGCACAAGUUUUAGUCGGUCAUAUUUUAUUAAACUACAUACUUACUAUGAUGAGAGUCUGCAACCCAAACCCAACUUCAAGGUGAAACAUCUAUCAUCUAGAGCCAAACAACCCAUCCAAACCAACCAUACCACCAACUAACCAUGUGAGGGUCCAAGCUACUCUUGUUGAGCAUGUGGCGGUUAUAACCGUUUUACACUCUGCAGAGGGGGUACAUCUUUACUCACGAGUUGUGCUACCCGUUCAUGCCUGGGGUUGCAAGCCUCUUCACACAUUGCCAAGAUGUGUGGGCUUGGUACACUAUGAGGCAAUUACAUAGGUUCCCCAACACUUAUUCACCAGACUCCAAGUGCACAACCCAUCAUUGAGCCUUGCUGGACUCUUGGGAACUCGGCUCUUAUCUAGCCCAAACAGUCCACUAGGUUGCCCUACUUAAUUAGCUAAGACCAUAGCCCAUUUAGUUCUCGUGGUUGUGCAUGUCCUUGAAAUGGCUCAAGCAAGAUGAGCAUCAACCCAAAACACCAUCCACCAGACAAAUACUUGCUCGAGUCCCUAGGCUUCCAUGUUUCUAAAAGAUUACCAACCCAUGUGAUUACAUAGUUGAUUAUUCAUUAUUAAAAUUAAACCCAACCCAGGUGUAGAGCACAACUAAGCAAGUCACUACCUAAAAACCAUAACACUCUCUAUGGGCUUCAAGGAAGUCACAAACAAAUCUAGUAACCCAACAUAGGAUUCCCAUAGUAACUCAAUGCGUGAAUAAAGCAUAAAUAGAAAGUGAUAUUAUUGUAAAUGCAAGUAAACAGGGAGUAUGCAUCAAGGACACUUGCCUUCGUCAUGCUUUUGCUGGAUCUUCACGUGCACUCGAUCUUUUCUCGAACAGCUACUUGCAGCAACUAUCGGAAACAAGCAUACAUACAAAAGUAUAAGAAUAGUACACUUGAAGGGACCGUGACACCCUAAGAGGAGGGGGUUGAAUUGGGUGUUCUAAAAACUAAGACUCCAAGCACAUAUAAAAACCUAUAUCAACUUCUAUCUAGAUGUGCACUAGGUUUUUCUAUGUGUUGCUAUAUCUACCGUAAAAGAGUUUUGCACCCUAGGUUCCAAUCCUAUAAACUACACAUGGCAAUUCUAGGAAAGGUAAACGCGGAAUUGUAAGUGCAAUAAGAAAAGUGAAAGGUAAAUGAGGUAGAGAAGGCAAACUCCUGGCGUGGCGACACAGCAAUUUUUUCCGAGGUAUCGGAAAGUAAAGCUUUCCACUAGUCCUCGUUGUUGCAGCCCCUCUCAAAGGGAAUGCCCGUGCAAGGGCAUAAACUCCCCGGUCAAGUAACUCCGUAUGAUAGCCGACGGGCCUUCCCCACGCGUAAGUGGGUCUCCGCCUAGCCUCUCCCAGAUGCUCCUUGCAGCUCUUCACUUGGUAGAGCUUUGGCAAAACGCCAAGGGCCUCUCCUCCCUCUCAAAAGCACCGGCUGCCACUCCACAAACGCGGUUGGAGGGUCUUGAGAGACUUACAAGCUUCGGAUUUACAACUCUUGGUGCGCGCAAGCACCGAUACAAAGGAGGUGUGCAAACUUGGCCUAACUCUAGGCUAAACCCUAAAUCAAUGCGCUAAUAGGUCUAAACUAGCACUAACCAAGACCUAAGCCUUACAAUAAUUGUCUUAAUUUUCUCUUUAGCACUUUGGUAUAGAGCACUUGUGUUCAUGUGAGAACCAAGCCUAUAGUUUCUCCAAGCUCUAACAUACCUCAAAUGGCCGAGCAAUGGGGUAUAUAUAGCCCCAACUCCAAGAACUAGCCGUUACAUAGCCAUUGUAACUUUCUGUGUAUCACCGCCUCAUUUGCUACCCUUGUCACUGUAGCCACCAUAUGAAUCGGUGAGGUCCAAUUAUACUCCAAAACUUCUAGAGCCGAUUUAUAGCCGGUUUGAGUCGAGCCGACGAUCACCGACUUAUUCAGUGACGGUUACUGUUACCAGAGUAUGAAUAGGCGGUAACAAUGCACGCGCCUACCUUUGCCCUGCCUGUGGUCACCGACUGAAUCGGUGACGGUUACUGUUCCUAGAGUAUGAAUCGGUGGUAACAGUGCAUGCCCUACCUUGACCCUGCCUAUGGUCACCAACUGAAUUGGUGAUGGUUACUGUUACCAUAGUAUGAAUCGGUAGUAACAGUGCACGCGCAUACCUUGGCCCUGCCUGUGGUCACCGACUGAAUCGGUGAUGGUUACUGUUACCAGAGUAUGAAUCGGUGGAAUAUGUCGAUGCAUAUUUGUAGCAGGAUUCGCUUCAAAUCUUCGCGUGUCUUUGUCCAUUCUUCAUUAUCAUCAUUUGUAAGCCUUAGAAUAAGACUAAAACUAGAUUUUUACUAUCAUUUGGAUGCCAUAAAUUUCUUCUAAGUCUUUCUUUUUCUUCUCAUUUUGAUGGUUUUGUAAUUCAUCCUUGGGACUUAUAAAACAUAUGUCAGGCAUACAUCCAUGGGUCCACCAGAAGGUUAGUAUGAAUCCACAUGUGGAGAAGUACACCGAGAUGUAUCAAGACAUGGAGACUACGGUACGGGGGUGGCGUGGUCUAUAUGGAAGUCCAAGGGACUGGUCGAGGAUAAGGAAACUACUCUUCCUAGUUGAAGUAGUAAUCGGUAGUCAGAUCCGACUAGUACUCUUGUAAAACAACUACCCUGUAACCCUGGUCCCCCAAUAUAUAAGGGCAGGCAGGGACCCCCCUCAAGAGAAGUUCAAUCCAAUACAAGCAAACACCAUACAGGACAUAGGUAUUACGCAAUCUAGCAGCCCGAACCUGUCUAAAUCGCGUGCCUAGGUACUCCAUCGAGCUCCUAAUUUCGACGACACCCACCAACCAAAACUCUACCUCGGGUAAUCCCUUAGUAGGUUGCCGGGUUUAAACACCGACAACGUACAUCUUGCAAACACAUUAGUCCCAAUGACUAUAUUGUCAUCAAUCACCAAAAUCAUAAUGGGCUAGAGCCAUUUUCCUUACAACACUAAAUAGUGACAAAAUAGUAUUGAAAGAAUUUUAAAAGAAUGGUCUCAUCGAUACAAACUCGUGAGCGCAUGAGUCACUUAAAUCGGAAUCACGAGUAAAAACUAAAAAGUACUAAUAGUUUUACUAACCAAGAAAUAAAAUGUAAAAUAUAACAUUUCUAGAAUUAUUUUUAUACUGGAAAAUGGUAUUAAUGACAUCAACAUGGGUGGUUUAUGACAUCAGCAAAGAUUUAUGGAAAAGUUUAGUAUAUUUAUUGGAAUUUUGGUAAGUUUAUCUGGUAAUGAUGUCAGCAUAACGUCAGCAUGAACUUUGAUGUAAAUAAAGUAUUUAGAAUCGGUUUUAUUGCAAGUUUUACAAGAUACGAAGAACGGUUGACUAAUUAAUUACUAGGUUUCUCACGGGCUAGAAUGUAAGAUAGCCUGGCCAAAUAUGUUGACUUCAGUCAAGGAUCAAUCUCGGUUCUAGGAUCUGGUUUGGGCGACUGGAUUUUAAAAAACAAGGGGGGAUGGUGGGAUUUAAUCAGGGCCGUGCACGCGGGGUGAUGGACGACAAUGAUGCGCCGCCAGUUUAUGGUCACUGGUGCCGCCUGGAAUUGAAGCACCAGUUCAUUGGACUAGCUCGAUGCUAGCGCUACGGUGCAUGGGAAACGACAGGGAGUAGCACAAUAGGGAGAGGAGCGAAUGGCGAGCUCACCAUGGGUCGGAGAUUGGGUAGAGGCACGGCGUAGAUGUCGUGUAGCGGAUGGAGGUGGAGCGGUUUGGUGGCAUGGGGUGACGACGUGCCUGUGGCCUCGAGUGGCAGACGUCGAGUAGCGAGGUGUUCCUAUGAUAGCAUGGAAAGGAUGAAGGGUGAGAUCCGGACAUCGCACGGUGAAUUACGGUGGCGGAGCCUUCAUCUUACCCGAGGCGGAUGGAAUGGAUUCAGCGGGCGGGUGCGAGAGGCGAGCGUGGCGGCGUGGGUUGGCAAAAAGGGAGGUCGAGGAGGCUCGCAUGGUUUUAUAGGGAGGAAGUGCUAAAAAUAUAGUCUAAAAAUUUAUUUUUGGACCUUGCCAAAAAUUAUUGGGCGACAAUUCCAAGAAAGCUGGUUCCAAAACAAAUCAAAUUGCUACCACACCAUAUUGUUGUGGGCCCCUACUAUUGUUUUUUUUUCACGUCAAUAGAAUGCCGCUUCUUUCUUUCUUUUUUCUUCUCACCACGUUGUUGCCAAGCAAGACCGUCAUGGCCAUUGCUUAGCGCGGUGGACAAAAGCAAGCCGGCCAAAGAAAUUUGGGGGGCGAAUUCUUGAUCUGGACAUCUUUAACCGAGCUUUGAGACUGAGGUGGCUCUAGCUGGAGUGGAUUGACCCAGAUAAACCUCGGGUUGGCUCUGAGGUACCCUGUAUUGCGGUGGAUCGGCAACUGUUCAGGGUAAGCACUGUGGUUACAACUAGGGAUGGAAACGAGGUUUCGUUUUGGCAGUCAUCUUGGUUGAGAGGUCGUGCGCCGAUGGACAUUGCACCUAGACUAUAUAAGUUGGCCUGGCCUGGCGUAAGAACAUGGAGGUGAGGGAGGAGUUACCAAAUCAUUAUUGGACGAGAGGUUUAUGGUGCAUGAACACAGUUGAGGAGAUGGUGGAAUUUGUUGUCCUGUAGGAUAUGGUUCAGGAUGUGGUUUUCUUUGGUAGGCCAGAUGAAAUUUUGUUUGGCGCUGGACUGCUGUGGAGCUUCUCUCUCCUGCUCAGCAUACAUGGCACAGUUAUCUGAUUCAUACAGUACAUUUAGUGGAAGUUCACAAAUUCUUUGCAUGGCUGCUGGUGCAAAGUAAGAUAUACUUACUGCUGACAAGCUGGUCGUAAGAAAUUGGCCCUGCAACACAACUUGCUGUUUAUGUGAUCAGGAAGAAGAGACAGCACAGCGCACCUUUGCCUGCAUUAUGUGUUCACGCGUGAGAUUUGGGUGCACAUGAACUCCUGGUGCUGGAGUAUGGAAUGUCGAUCGAGGAUUGGUGGCAGCGAUCUCUCAGCCCAUACUCAAAGAUUCAGAGAAGGAAUGUAGCAGCUCUGCUCAUGUACACUUCUUGGAAAAUAUGGAAGUAAAGAAACCGGCGCACCUUUGAUGGAAGAAUGGUGAAUGCAAUGCAGGUGUUCUGGUUCAUCGAAGAAGAGAUCGCUGUGAGACAGCAAGCUGUCGGAGGGCCAACUGUAUCAUAGGAGUAGUUUUUAGUUACUUUCUGUUAGUUUAUUUUCAGCUGAUGAGAGUGUUCAAUCAUUUAUGUAAUAAGCCCCAUAUAAGACAUGUUAUGCUUCCUCUUCUAAAAUUAAUCGGCUAUACGUACUAGACUACUCUCGAGUGCCGUAUAGAUUUCGCGUAUACAAUGAUACUACAUAUAGCAUACUAAACCCUCCUAUUUAGCACAUCUCUUUCGGGAUAUGUAAUUCGUCUUGUCCACUAAACUGUGAAUACGGCACGGUGAAGGUGGAGAUUGCACAUCCAUUACUGCCGCGUUGCACCAGAGCCAGUGGAAUACUGGAGAGCUGUACGAUACGUUACGGCGCCCCUUAGACUCCACGUACAUGUGCGUCAUCUCGAUCUGUAGCUUAGGGUCUCCGUGUGAUUUCUGCCCUGCCAUGCGGCGUUGAACUUCACCUGUCAACCCGAUCAGCUCGCUGCGCGACGUGGACGCCUUCACCGACGCGUUCGACAUCUUCUCCAAGCAGGUGUCAGGGAAGUAGGCCGUAAUCCAUACAGGCAUAUCCUUGUUUUCCAGUGCCGGCCGGUUCGUGACGCGAGCGGUGAGGUUGAAGGUUGGUGGCGGCGGCGGCGGCGGCGGGGCCGUCGAGUCUUGCGGGCUGAUCAGGAAACCUGAUGCCUCGACGCCGGUGAUCUCCGCCUGGUAGUAUCCGAGUGCAUCUUCCGCCGUCCAGUAGGCGAAGCCGUAUGCUGCGUGGCAACAGAGCAGCAACCCGAGCAGAACGAUGCCAAUCAGCGCGAACCCCAGCAGAAUUGCUACGAAGUCCAGCACGCGUUUGCCUAUCUCGUCUCGUAAGCAGCGUCCAAACCCAGCCGCCGCCUGACGCGCAGGGGAUGUUCGUUGGCUCGGCGAGCCAGGGACGGCGUGGAGCGUUGAGCCAGUAGAGGCUCCAUACUAACACAUCUUACAUUUUGGAACAUGAGAGUACUUUAUGAUGUUCCCUGCUUAAAUGGGAAAGAAACUUUUUUUUUUGCGUUACAUGUGAAGCAACACUGCUAUUCUGUUAUGUGAUGGCAAAGAUAUUUCAGUGACAAAAUUGUGAAGGAAGGCAAUGUUGCUAUGAGGGCCCAAACCUGGCCGGCCGGUAGCUCACGAUCACAUCGAUGCUCACUCUCUAAUCUCUGUUCUUGGCCGUAUAUAAAUAGAGACUGGAUUCUUUCUAAUUAUGUGUGUAUAUGUGCGUUUGGUUGCAGAUCAAGAUGGAAUAGUGUGCCACACAACACAACUAAUCGGAGUGAGAUACCGGAGGAAACUAAAUAGUUCGAUGGAGAUGCAUGCUGCCGCUGGCCACACUACCCUUGUUCGCUCAUCUUGUUAACCACAGCACAAAUGUGAGCUAGGCCUGCAUGAUAUUAUACUAAGAGAGCGACUGCUCGUUUCCCCCUUUGUGUAGAUUGGCAGGUUAAUGCUUGCUACUGCUAGAGUCAUUGUGUUAUCUCUAGAUGUCUGGUUGUACAUGGAAGAGACAGCGGGCCAAGGAGUAGAGACGCUUGCUUAUCGCAUCCUUUCUGGCAUGGCUUGCACAUGAUCCAGGGCCAGGAUCCGGUGUCGACAAGGACGGAGUGUAUACAGACAGGUGUUACGUAUGUAGCUAAAGUAGACCCAUGGAGCACUAUUGGCGAUGAUCUCCCUGGAAACGUUCACUUCAUCCAAGGGAUCCGAGAUGCUACUGGCGAGAUGAAUGGAACGUGACAGCAGUCCAGCACCGACGGGCGCGCGCGGCGCGACGGAGAAGUGCAAGGCAUAAUAUAGCAUAAUGUAUCACUCUGAAUUCUCCCACUUGUUUGAAGAACAGAAGAUGAGCACCGAGAUUAUACAGAAAAGAAAAUAGAAGAGUUUUUUUAUAAAUGGGGAGAGCUGCCCGAUUAUAUUAAAAAAAGAAGGAGUUGCAAACCGUAUGAAAAGAUAGUAUGAAAAGGAAAGAAAAACAAAACAGACUCGUCUGGUUGGAUUGAGAUAUCAACGCGAGUAGUCACUCAACUCAAAACUGCCAUACUCGACCGGUUAGAUUGGGACAUCAACGUGACCUCACCACUCCACUCACCACGACGGCACCCACCAACAACCACGCUCAUGUAUUCGCCGAAACCUCCGGGCGUGACCCUGCGUGACAGGAUUGAUAGAAAUAGACUGCACCGCACCGAGAAGGCCACCGCCAUGCGGGACCCUCCGUUGUAGUGCCGCUGCAACGCCACACUCCACCUGACAGAGUGAUGCCACCGAAUCCAGACCUCUCGCAGGCUGCCUCACAGUCGCCACUGCGAUAACAUAACGCGUGGGGGCCUCUCCAUAUCCAUUGUUGGACUCCAUCUCACUCCCAUCGCCUCUAAGAAACACCACGCGCAGGGCCUUGCCACGCCCACCACAGUACUCCACAUCGCGGAUUCGUUUCUUUUAUCGCUGUCAGAGUGGUGAGCAAUGUUGCCCGCUCCACAAUAUUUGCGUCGAUCAGCCAAACCGCCACCGUAGGUCGACUUCGCCUCGUUGCUUCACCCGCGCAAAAGCAUCCACCACCAUGUCAGUAAGCCAGAGAAGUCACUUGCGCUGUCUUCCGACGAUGUACCGUACCGGGUAGCCCAGCCAAGCUGAGCAACCCGCCGCGGUCCGCUACAAGCUUAGUUGUCCCACGAUGCCGUUGCCGCAAGCGCCGUUCUCCGACGCAGUCCCAUGCCGCACUGACCGUUGCCAAGCAACACCAGCCGCGCGGCCCGCUGCAAGCGACCAAGACCGACAAUCAUGCGACAACCCCUAGCCGCCACCAUAACUGCGAUCGCCUCCACGUGGCCUCAGCAACAUCCGUCCAGCUUGCCACGCGGCGAAAUUAUCGCCACCGGCUGCGGCCGUCCAUGACUAAUGGGCCAGCAAUGCCACAGAUAGAUAUGGAUCUCUAGAGACGACGCCUUCAAGGAGGGUACGAUGUCAAUGGUGCCGCCGUCGUAGAAUUGGAUAAAAUUUUCACUCAAAGGACCCCGUGCAGCAAGGUUGUAGCUCAGGCAUGAUGCCCUCAACGCGAAGAACGACGUCCUAUGGCAUACUCGAUGUUCGCCAACGAGCCACAGAAUCCCCAUGUGAUUACACGCAAAAUAGUGUAAGCAGUUCUCUUUCUUUCAGUAGAGUAAGCAGAGUGCGAAAUUUCUUAGCGAUUAUUCUCGCGUGUGAUGCAGCAAGCCCAAUCGGCUUAGUGAAACUUCUACCGUCUCGGCGCCGGCCUUCAACCUCACCAUCCACGAUUCCACGCCCAUAGCAAGCAGCACCUCCGGCGAAUCUGCUGGGGCGACAUGACCUUAAUCGUGUACUACAACGAGACGAUGGAGCACGCUGCUUGCAUUCUGCGUGGACAGGUGGUCGGCCGUCGACCUGAACGUGACCCUGCAUGUUUCUGGGCCUGUUCGCUUCAGCUUAUUCAGCCGGCUUAUCAGCCACCAAACAGUGUUUUUCUCUCACAACAAAUCAGCCGUUUCAACUUUUCAGCUGGCUUAUAAGCUGAAGCGAACAGGCCAGACGCUGCGCGAGAAGAUGGAGCGCGACCGACAGGGUUCUUCAUCUCGUCCAGCAAGAAUUUCGUGUUCGGAUCCAUGGCACCGAGUUUCUUUUGGAAUGAGGUAAAGUGGUGGUGGGAAUCCAGCACGGGUUCCAGGAUCUAGUCUAUCAUACGAGAUUUGAAGCAGCAGGCUUUAGAAUUCGAAGGAAUCGGGGAACAGAGGACAGCGAAAACUGGAGAAGAACAGAGGUGACAGGCUUAGGAGGCUCUCUCAAGUCUCAACUCACCCCCAUACUCAUUAGUCGUUACAUAGUGGGCUGGGCCCAUUGUGAGCCGGACACACGGACAUUGGGCUUCAUGGGCCGUUGGCUGACAGAUCAUCAUGUUCAAUUCUUCACAAUUCAGUUCCACUGCCGCUUCAUUCUCUGUUUCUCUUCAGGAUGCAAACAGAUAGCAGGGCUGCCAGACAGUGUCCCACUCUACGCAUGGGAUGGCAUAUAGUGAUGUGGAAGAAGACAAAGGCAGAUAUGUAUUGAAUUGUCACUUGAGAUAUGCAUAUAUUUUCCGGUCAUAGAAAAAUGAUGAUGCAUUCUAUGGCUAUUGUACAUGAGGAAACAUUAAUAGGCAAUGCAUCUUGCUGUAAAACUAGUAGCUGUACAAUGCUCAAAGUUGCCCACAGUGCACGCUUUGCCGCAACAAAUAUUUGACAAAUUGACUCGUGAGCAUGAAUCUGUUCAAACUUUGUACUCAUCCAUUCCAAAUUGUAAAUCAUUCCAAAAAUCUUGAAGAGUCAAAGUAUCUCAAGUUUGACCAAAUUUAUAUGAUAAUAUAAUAACAUUAAUGAUGUCAUCUAAAUAUCAUUAGAUUCUUCAUCAAUUAUAUUUUCAUGGUAUACCUAUUUGAUGUCAUAAAUCUUUAAAAUUUUCUCUAUAAUUUUGGUCAAACUUGAGAUGCUUUAACUCUCUAAGAUUCUUGGAAUGACUUACAAUUUGGGAUGGAGGGAGUAAGUUGUAACCUUGAUUCCUGAUAUGUGUUGUUGAUCAAGCAUCUUCGUCACCGUCUCCUCCAGCUUUGUUCCCGGUUUGCCGCCGGCCAGCGCCCCAACGACCGAGCAGCCCUCGGUAGUCGACGUCUCGGAGGCGCAGCAGCAAGUACAAAACAAUUCCCGAGAUGAACCCCAGUGCGGCGCUCGAGCCCGUGAGCGACACGCCGGCGCAGAUGAGCAUGACGAAGGACUCCUCCUUCGUGCCCAUGUCGCGCGACGCCAUGGCGAGCUCGACCCCAGAGAAGAGCAGCAUGACGCCCAGUAUCCCGAUGGGGAACUGCCCGAGGAUCGUCACGAACGAGUUGCCGAACACGAGGCCGAGCGCCAGCUUGCCGAUGGCCAGGAACACCACGGACGCUCCGCUCCGGCCGCCGAAACGGUACUGCCCCGCCAGUCCGCCCGCGCCGUGGCAGCACGGCAUGGCGCCGAACCAGCAGCCGACGAAGUUCAUGAGGCCGACGCUCACCGACACCCUCGCCGGGGAGAGCUCGGCCCGUUCGGGGAACAGGUCCGACGAGAGCUUGCACACGGCGAUCACCGAGUUCAGCACGGACAGCGGGAGCUGCGGCACCGCGCCUUCCCAGAACCCGAUCUUGAAAUCGUCCCAGGUGAUCUUGACGAUCCGCAGCGGCGCCGGCCCAAAACGAAGGCCCUGCACAAUCGACGGGUCACGCACGAAGCAGAGCAGCAGGCCGAGCGCGAACACGAUGAGCGCCGCCGGGACGCGGCUGCAGGAGCGGCGGCGGCGAAUCGUGCCGUCGCUGGAGACUUCCUCGUCGUCGCCGGAGCCGGUGGCGAGGAUGAUGAACAGCAGCGCCGCGAGCGCGAGGACCAGGCCGUCGAGGCCGAGGAGCGGGCGCGCCACGGCGGUGGAGGCAGAGGACGAGUGGGAGAAGUCCUGGACGUAGCGUAUGUACUUGACGGCGGUGAAGGCGAAGGAGAGCCCCUGCGAGAGCUGGAUGCCGCGCACGACGGGGAGCGGGAGGAGGCGGUAGAGGCAGGUCAUGAGGCCCGUAGCGCCGAGGAAGAGCAGGACGGCGGCGACCGACAGCCCCGCGGACAUGAUCUGCGGGAUGGUGAGGUGCGCCGAGGAGAGCGCAACAGCGGCGAUGGACUUCAUGGGCUGCACGGGCAUCGGGAUGCCGAAGAGCAGGCCCGUGGAGAAGUUGUAGAGCGCGGUGAAGAUGAGCGUGGUGCCGAGGUCGAGGUGCGACGCCAGCGACAGCGCGAGCACGAUGGGGAUGUAGGUGCCCAGGUCGCCCACCGCGCCGCCCAGCUCGGACCAGACGGAGGUCUUGAGAUGGACGGAGGAGGGGAGGAACCCGAGGCGGCGUCCGCUGCCCUCGGGGGGGAGGAGCGGGUCGCCGGCGGCGGACGCCAUGGGGGUGGGCGAGCGGCAACGACUUUCUCUGGAUGUUUUCUGGUGGAUUUGGGCUUACCUUGCACGUUUCUGACGGGAGAUGUCCCGGUGGCUCCACUGAGCUGAUAAAUAUAUGCGCGGGUGCUGUUUCCAUCGAGAAUUUAACACGAAGAUGCGAUCUAUAUGCUUUUUUUCAUACGAGGGUUUAAAUUUUAGCAUAUUUAUAUCGGAUGUUCGGAUGCUAAUUAGGAGUAUUAAACAUAGUCUAAUUACAAAAAUAAUUGCACAGAUGGAGUCUAAGGGGCGUUUGCUUCCACUGACUUAUUUUUAGCACGUGUCACAUCGAAUGUUUAGAUACUAAUUAGGAGUAUUAAACGUAGACUAUUUAGAAAACCCAUUACAUAAGUGGAGGCUAAACGGCGAGACGAAUCUAUUAAGCCUAAUUAAUCCAUCAUUAGCAAAUGUUUACUGUAGCAACACAUUGUCAAAUGAUAGACUAAUUAGGCUUAAUAGAUUCGUCUCGCCGUUUAGCCUCCACUUAUGUAAUGGGUUUUGUAAAUAGUCUACGUUUAAUACUCCUAAUUAGUAUCUAAACAUUCGAUGUGACGGAUGCUAAAAAUAAGUCAGUGGAAGCAAACGGGCCCUAAUUCGCGAGACGAAUCUAUUAAGGCUAAUUAAUCCAUCAUUAGCAAAUGAUUAUUGUAGCACCACAUUGUCAAAUCAUGAGCUAAUUAGGCUUAAUAGAUUCGCCUCGCGAAUUAGACUCUAUCUGUGCAAUUAGUUUUAUAAUUAGACUAUGUUUAAUACUCCUAAUUAGUAUCAAACAUCCAAUGUAACAGGUGCUAAAGUUUAACACAAACACCCCUUUAAUAUCAUGAUGGUGAUGUGCUUGGCACUACGGAGUAGUAUGUUAAAUAAUUGGAGCUUUCAUUCUGUUUUUAGAAUGUAGUCCGAAUUGGUUCAUGUAUGGGAUUUCAGUUGAACUCUUGAAGGGUGAAGGAUAGAUAGUUAUACUUAAAAAAGAUGAAAGCCAGAAUCAUCAAGAUCAUAUUAGCUGUUUGUUUUGAAAGUAUUUUCAUUGCCAUUAACACAUAUCUUAAGCCAUUUCCAGUCCUUGGUGUUUGAUUUGAAAUGUACAAUCCUUAAUUUUGAUGCAGUGUUCAACAGACUAGAAACAAUUUUAUGAGAACCUUUUCUGAAAUGCACGAUCCCUAUUUUUUAUGUGCAUUUCCAAAUUUGAAUUCUUUUGUGUUAUUUUAAGUAACUUUUGGGACGGUGCAAUAUUUUCUGUUGGGAGUCUAUUUAGCUGUCGACAGAUUUUUAGAGUAAAAUCUGUCAAAUUUUAUUAUGUUGCAAUGUUAUUUUCUAAUAUGAUUGAAACAUGAAGUACUAUGCAACAUGCCAGAACAUAGUAAAUAGCAUAUGUAACAUUAGGAAAAUCUGCCACAUUUCCUCCCCUGAAAUCACGAAAUAUUUUAAAAUAUUAAAGAAUAAUGUUUGCAAUAUCAGAUUUGAAUGUCAGAAAAUUCGACAGAUUUUCUUCUAAAAAUCUGCUUCCGGACCCAUGGUGAACAACUGAAGUUGCGCCCAACUGUAUAUCCUGUGACAUCGAAUUCUGUUUCGUCCGGAGGGGCGGACCAUCUGCCAUCGUCGUUGGACAACACUGGCUGCAACGUGGACGUGUCAAGUGGCUUUUCAAGCGACGAGGGGAGAGGGUCAUCUGAUAUUUUCCCAUCCGGGCCCAUCCUGAGCUUGCGUAGUCGCUCGGACACCCACGUGUUGGGUGACAACGUGACUUGCGUGGUCGCACGAUGGACCUUUUAGAAAAUGAUUGAGACACUAGUGAGGCUGAAACCUUUUUUACAAGCUGUCACCCCAAACUCACCUCAGUCCAUCCUCUCUUUCCUUGAUAGUUUGAGCAGCGGUAUCCGUCUUUAGCGUCGAAUUCCCUUGCCCCGUAUGUAAACGACCGUAUGACGGAAUUUAUUCACCGGAUUUAUCAAUCGGAUUCCUCUCUGCAACCUGCAUAUAGGUAAGUAAUUUCUCCAAAAGUUUCUUUUAAAAACCGAUCCUCCAAAAGCUUUGAUACAUUAGCCUCCAGAGACCGGGACUGCCUGGCUGCCACCUUCACUGCGGUGCGGGCCAGGAUUUUGUUGACUGUUUGACAUCGCGUCCAAAUCCCGACCGCUAACCGCGCGCACCAACCGUUGAUCCUCCCGAAAACCCAACACGCCCGAUGCGGCCAUGCCGCGCUACCUCUACUUCCGCCCCGCCGCAGGCCAUGCCCGCCCCCACCGCCACCCCCUCCUCGCCCACCUCGACGCCUGCGCCUCGCGGGCCCACCUCGCGGAGCUCCACGGCCGCCUCAUCCGCGCCCACCUCGCCCCGGACCCCGCCGUGGCCGGCCGGCUCGUCGCCCUCCUCGCGUCCCCGGCCCCGGGCCACGACAUGCGCUGCGCGCGCAGGGUGUUCGACGGGAUGUCCCGGCCGAACGCGCCCGCGUGGAACUCCAUGAUCAGAGGGUACACCAGCCGCGGCGCGCCUGGGGACGCGCUGGCGACGUUAAGGAACAUGGUUCGGAGGGGCGUCGUGCCUGACAGCUACACCAUGGCCGCGGCCGUGACCGCGAGUGCUGCUGGUGAUGGCUGGAAGUGGGAGUGGCGGGCGACCGGGGACGCGGUCCAUGCGAUGGUCCGGAAGAUUGGGUGCGCGGCGGACCUGUACGUCAUGUCAGGCCUGGUUAAUCUAUACGGCACUUUUAGAAGUGCUGAGGAUGCAAGGAAGGUUUUUGAGGAAAUGCGGGAGAGGGAUGUGGUGUCUUGGACGUCCAUGAUCUCAGCUUUUGCACAGCGUGGCAUGUGGGAUGAUGCGUUGAGGUUUCUAUCUGAGAUGCAGGCAGACGGGAUUUUUCCUAACAAAGUCACGAUUAUAAGCUUGUUGUCUGCUUGUGGGCAUGGGCAGGCUGUUGACAGAGGCCGGUGGGUGUAUGAUCAGCUUAGUGAAUAUGGAAUUGAGGCUGAUGUGGAUAUAGGAAAUGCACUCAUAAGCAUGUAUAUGAAAUGCGGGUGCAUGUCUGAUGCUUUGGAAGCAUUUAAGGUCAUGCCUUCAAGAAAUACUAAAUCAUGGAACACCCUGAUCGAUGGGUUUGUGCAAAAUCAGAAGCAUAAAGAAGCACUGACAAUGUUUGAGGAGAUGUUAUCGAAUGACUUUAAUCCUGAUGCCGUAACACUUGUUAGUGUUUUAUCAGCCUGCACUCAGCUUGGUGAUCUUCAGCAAGGGAGGAAUCUCCACAGUUACAUAAAAAGUCGUAGGAUUAGUUGUGACACCAUCCUUACGAAUUCUUUGAUUAACAUGUAUGCCAAAUGUGGCGAUAUGGUAGCAGCAGAAGUGGUUUUCCAGGCUAUGAAACAGAGGGAUGUUGUUUCAUGGACAACUAUGGUUUGCGGUUAUGUGCAGGGACGGCAAUUUACAGCGGCAUUCAUCUUUUUUGAAGAGAUGAAGGCUGCAGGAAUUGUAGCAAGUGAAAUGGCACUGGUUAGUCUACUUUCUGCUUGUUCACAGCUUGGGGCACUUGAUAAAGGAAGGGAGAUACACGCUUAUAUAGAAGAAAAGAACAUCAAAAGAGAUGUAUUCCUAGAAAGUGCCCUGGUGGAUAUGUAUGCAAAAUGCGGCUGCAUCAACAUGGCUGCUGAAAUAUUUAGCAAAAUGCAGUAUAAGCAAACCCUCACAUGGAAUUCUAUGAUCGGAGGCCUUGCAAGCAAUGGACAUGGGAAAGAAGCAGUCCAGCUCUUUGACCAAAUGCUAAAGUUUGGAGAUCCCAAACCUGAUGGUAUUACUUUCAAGACAGUCCUUGGUGCCUGUGCUCAUGUGGGAAUGGUUAGUGAGGGACUCCGUUACUUCCAUUCCAUGUCGACCUCUGGUAUUGCCCCUGAUAUUGAGCACUAUGGUUGCAUAGUUGACCUCCUAAGCAGAGCUGGGCUACUAGAAGAAGCAUUUGAGUUCAUCAUGAAGAUGCCAAUGGAGCCUAAUCCUGUAAUUUGGGGAUCACUUCUUUCAGCUUGUAGAUUUCAUCAGAAAAUAGAUUUAGUGAGGAGAGUCGGGCAACACAUAAUUAAGUUAGCUCCUAAUGAUGUGGGAACACAUGUGCUGAUUGCAAACUUACAUGCUGAAGGUGGUCAGUGGGAUGAUGUGCAGCAAAUAAGAGAGCAGAUGGGAAAGAGGGGCAUAGAGAAGUCACCUGGUCAUAGCUCCAUCCAAGUCUAAAUCUUCUUGAUGUAGUUUAACGUGAUACGUGAUCUGCCUAUAGUACACGAGGCUGACAGGAGCAAUGCCAACGAGUACAGUUUCUGUUUUUACAAGAAAUUAGGCAUCACAUGUCAAUUUCCAUUAACCUGUGUACAUGUGAUUAAUUAUUGUAUUAUUUUUGGGGUAUAAACAGUCAACACUACCUUAACCAUUUUGUGUGACGCCUCUUUUAAUAGCUAGAUACUCACACUUGGCAGUGGUGCAAGCUCAGCUAAAUUUGUCUAUGGUAGCAUUGGAUAAUGUUCAUGCACACAAUUGAAGCUGUGACAAGAACAGAAGACAUGUAAAAUAUACUCAUUUCAUAUUUCCAUAUGAAAUUUAGAACUUACCUGCUGUUCAGUUCAUAGAUUAAUCAACAUAGUUUUUUUAAUGAACUAUCUUCUCUAUGUUUGAGUUAUGCUCAUAUUAUUGAAGAAUCAUGCUUUGUAGCUAAUUCUUUGUACAUUGAUUUGCUAAGACUGUCCGAUUAUCUUGUUCCAAAUAAAUAACAAUUUGCAUUUUUCAACUAUUGCACUGUUCAUGCCGUCAACAUUCCUACAUUCUCCGAUCUUACAAGUCCAAGAGGCAAAACUGCAACCAGCCCUUCGCUGCACAUUGAAGUAAGAUAUUUACGCUUUUUUUAUAUCAAUUUCCAGUUUGUUGAUAUUGCCUAAGAAACGCAAGUCAGUAUCCAGAUUAUCCAUUUGGGGAUUGAAUUCUCAGUUUUCAUAUGGCUGGAAAAGACAGUUCUUCUCUUUUAGAGGGAGAAUGAAGACAGGUAACUCUCAGAAGGCUGACAUUAAAGGCCAAGCUCCAUCAAAAGGUAUGCGCAAAUUAACCUCACAUCUUUUCUGCAAGAUAUUAACUGUUUAAUAGUGAAGAAAUUAAAAAUAAAUGAACCCCACUAAUCAUGCAUACUGAACAAAUGACACAUUGAGGUUUUUUUUUCUCGAACUACGCAGGAGAGCUGCGUGUCAUUUCAUUAAGAAGGAAAAGCACGGAGGGACUGGUUAGAGCCGGACCCAAGUACAGGACUCACACCACACACACACACAUAACAAAAGCUCACAGGCUUGCCACAGGGAGCUUAUCACCAAAACGACCUAGCUAAACACCACAGCCUAAACAGCUCUGGAAAGCGACCAAGCAAGGAGCUCUUGAAGUUUAGAAGCUCCUGUCAUCCCCCACAGAUUACAUUCAUCAGCUACAGACCGGAGCAAAACUGGAAUGCUAGGCCUUGCUUGAUCAAACACACAAGAAUUUCUAUGUUUCCAGAUUUCCCAAGCCACCAAGAUGAUUAGGGAAUUCAACCCCUUACUCAAAUUCUUAGGAACAAGUCUAAGAGCUUUCUUCCACCAACUGGAAAAUCUGAAAUCUGUUGUGGGCACUAGAGCAGACAGAUGCAGAGACUGAAAAAUUGAGAACCAAAUCUGCCUGGAGAAGACACAGCCGACCAGAAGAUGCUGCAUAGUCUUCUCCUGGUCACAAAAAGGGCAGGCAUCCGGGUGGGGCAGGCCUCUUUUAGCUAGGCGAUCCGAUGUCCAACAAUGGUUGUUAAAUGCUAGCCAGAUAAAGAAUUUGCAGCGAAGGGGGGCCCAAUUCUUCCAAAUCCUCUUCCAAGGCGCGAAUUUGAUUGUCCCAACAAAGAAUGCAGCAUAAGCCGACUUGCUAGUGUACACUCCACAUUGGGUCAGUUUCCACCUGUACUGAUCAGGUACUUCAUGUUGCAGAACCAUGCCGUCCACUAGAUCCCAAAUCUGAAGAUACUCAAUGAGAACUUGGUCAGUUAGGCCACCUUUGAUAUCAAGGACCCAUCUCCUAUUAAUGAGAGCUUCUGCUACUGUCCUUCUUCUGACCGAUCUUUUGGGGAUUUUUUGUAUCUGGGGCUAACUUGGCAAUAGUUCUACCAUUCAGCCACCUGUCCUCCCAAAAAAGGAUUGUCUCCCCAUUAUCUACGAAUCUACUGCCAUGUUGAACAAAGCUUGAGCAUUUCGGGGAACUUGAACUUGAAAACCAGCCCAAGGCUGAGUAGGGUCAGUUUUCUGAGCCCACAGCCAACAGAUCCUCAGGGCCAAGCCCAAAGUUUCCAGAUUAUGAAUCCCCAAUCCACCAUACUCAAGUGGUCUCUGGACCCUUUCCCAAGAAACAAGGCAGUUGCCUCCAUUAGCCUGUUCUUGUCCUUUCCACAAGAAGCCCCUUCUUUUAUCCACAGCCUUGAUAACCCAUUUAGGGAGGUCCAAGACUAUCAUCAAAUAGAUAGGAGAGGCUGUCAUCACCACCCGUACCAUGACCAAGCGACCAGCCCUAUUCAUCAGAGAGGCCUUCCACCCUGGUAGGUGAUCUGCCACUUUUUAUCUAUUAAAGGCAACAACACCUCUUUCGUAGGCUUAUGGAUUGUAAGAGGCAGACCAAGGUAGGUGCAAGAGAACUCCUUGACAGCACAGGCCAACACAUCUGCAGUGAGGAGCAUCUCAGCAUCGGAACAGUGAAUGGGAGAGACUGAGCUCUUAGUGAGAUUUGUAUGCAGACCAGAAGCAUGACCAAACAAAUCAAGGAUGGUUUUGAAGACUCGCAGGUCCAUCAUAGAAGGCCGCAAGAAAACCACUGCAUCAUCCGCAUAGAAGGAAAUCUGAUGUCGGGCAUGCUGUAUAGCGAGCGGUUGCAGCAUCUGUUCUCUAGUUGCAUAUUCCACCAGAGAAUUCAGGACAUCCAUAACCAGGAUAAAUAGCAUGGGGGAGAGAGGGUCACCCUGUCGAAGCCCACGACGAUGAACAAUUGACCUACUCGGUUCACCAUUUACUAGGACUUGGGUAGAAGAGGUGGACAGGAUCAGGCAGAGAAGGUCACGCCACCGCUGUCCAAACCCCACGUCGCAGAAUCUCCAGAAGGAAGGACCAAGAAACUGAGUCGAAAGCUUUGGAGAUGUCCAACUUGAGUAAAAUAUGAGCCUCUUUUUUCCUGUGCAAGGACUUCACUAUUUGCUGGACAAGGAGAAAAUUGUCGUGAAUGUUUCUUUCCCUAACAAAAGCACUUUGAUUUGUGGCGACCAAUGAGGGCAGCUGAGGUGCCAGUCGGUUUGCCAUCACUUUUGUCAACAAUUUGACACUGUGAAUCAAGCUUAUAGGCCGGAAGUCCUUGACUUGGGUGGCAUCCAAUUUCUUGGGGAGGAGGGAAAUGAAGGAAGUAUUGAGUAAUCUGAAUUUGAACACACGUCCCUGAUGAAUGGCUGCAAAAGCCUGCAGUAGGUCCCCUUUGAUAAUGCUCCAACAAGACUUAUAAAAACGGCCUGUAAAACCAUCCGGCCCCAGGGCCUUAUCCAAUGGCAUAUCUUUGAUUAUUUCCCAGACUUCUUCCUCACUAAAAGGAGCAUCCAGGGAAGAUAGAUCAUGCUGUUGGACACCUAUUUCAGCAAGAUCAAUUGUGUAGUCUCGUUCCUCUGCUGUCCCCAGAACAUUCUCGAAAAAUUCCAGCACUGCCUCCUGUUUUUCCUCCCGUGUUACAGCUAACUGAUCACCAACUUGUAAUUUUGCAAUGAAGUUCUUCUUUCUAUAUCUUGCCUGUUGAUGGAAAAAGGAAGUGUUUGUGUCUCCUUCACGGAGAUAGAGGAUUCUUGAGCGCAGCCGGGUGAUGGUUCGCUCAAAGGAAGCCAAACCGAGGCAAUGAAGCUUAAGCUUUUUCCUCAGCCACUCUUCACUUGAAGAGAGCUCCUGAGAGUCCCUUGCAAUUUCUAGCUGGUGCAGAAUCUCUUUUGCCAUUUCUAUCUGAAGCUUGAUAUUUCCAAUCUUUCUUUGGCCCCAUUUUUGUAAACCCCUACUGAGGCGUUGCAAUUUGAGAAAAAGCCGCUCAACUGCACAGUUAGAUUGCACCGGAGCAUCCCAAACAGCCUGAAAGAAACCGGGCACCUUGGUCCAGAAGCUCUCAAAAUGAAAGCGCCAUUUUCCACUCUUUUGGAUUUUCAACCCAAGAAUGAGAGGGCAGUGGUCAGAAACUGUGGAUGCUGCACUUUGCAAAACUGAAUCAGGAAAGAUACCUUCCCAUCCCAAGCAACAAAAAGCCCGAUCCAACCUGACAAGUGUGGGAGAUGUACGCUCAUUCAACCAAGUGUAUUUGCGUCCCAAAAGGGGGAUUUCUUUGACCUCAACAUCAUCCAAAAAGCGCCAGAAUCUACCCAUCAUUGCUCUGUCAAGAUUGGCAUUCUUCUUAUCAGCUGCCUGGUAAAUCAGAUUAAAAUCUCCUGCCACUAACCAUGGCCCAUUGCACAUUCCCCGAACAUUCCGAAGCUCCUGCAGGAAUAGAACUUUCUCCUCAUCUUCCUGUGGCCCAUGCACGCCAGUAAACCACCAAUUUCAGCCUUCUUGCUCUGAAAAAAGAACCAAGACUGAAUAUGUCUCGACCUGAGUAGCAAUUGCUUGACAACUGCUACUCUUCCAAGCAAUCAGAACACCAAGAGCCAUUUCGAAUUUUCCCCAAAACCUUUGGAAUUUCCAAACCCAUGGACACGACAGAGUACAAGUUUAACAUUUGCAACAGCUCCGGAACAAUUACACUAAGAUAUGUACUAUUCUUUUUUUGUUAUGUCAAAACUGUAUCAUGUGAUUCUGAAUGACAGGCCAGACUGCUCAUCUACCGUGGUGGAUCACAGAUUCCACUAUUCCAGGCAAACCGAUCCUAGAAAAGAGUCCCAAUUUCAAAUCCACACGGGACACAUCUCAAAUCAGCUGGAGUUACCACAUGCCUUGGAUAAUGUUCAUGCACUGAAGUUGUGACAGGAAGAAAACUACUUCCAACACCUAAGGCUUGCAUACUGAAUUAUAGUUGAAGAACAGGUGCGUAACAUUUCCUCAAUUUAGUAUUUGCAUAUGGCCUGAUGGCCAUAUGUGGCUUAGAACUUCCCGGUUGUUAAGUACUUAGGCAAGGAACAAGAACAAUCAGACCUGUGAGUGUUUUCUAGUUUUUUUUUAAUUGUGUUUGAGUCAUACAUAGAUUAGUGAAGAAUCACGUUGAAUCCCUAAUCAUUAGUAGUUUUGAUUUGUUAGUUUCAUCUGUUGGAAGUAAAUAAUAGUUUUCCUUCCUUAUUUACUUCUUCCAUUCUGCAGGCUGCCCAGAACAAGUUCAAUAAUUAGGAUGCAGCCAUUAGAGACAAAGCUACAAUUAGCCCUUUGUGUACUUACACACGUGGUGUUCUUCUUCCCUCCAAGCUUCCCCUGCCGUAAGAUAGUCUCUGAAAUUUCAAUUUUGUUAUCAGUUUCCAAGUUGCUGAUACUUUGGAUAUCCCUAAGUUUCUAGUAGAAUGGAAACAGGUACUCACUUUUCAGCAUUCUUUACUGUCAUACAACAGGACUCGUAGUAAAGGCUGCUGGAAAGUGAGUAAUUGUUUCAGUUUUUCCAGGAACUUGGGAAUACUCAAACAUCAGUACAUGCCAGAAGACAAAUCUAGCAUUUGAAAAUUCUCUGGAAAUUUGUGAUCAGAAGUCAUCUGUUUUAGAUGAUGAAAUGGUCCUAGCUGAAAGACAACCAUGUACUUCAUGGUGGCCAUUCAUCUGCCAACUGCCAUGGUGGAUCUGAGGUGAAGCAGGCCCGGAAAAGUGUCGCAAGUAAACAGGUGGUGCUACUGAAUAAUGCCUGCACUGCAUGCUGCUACCGAAUCUCAGUCUAUGAGGAACACAGCGUUAGCUGCACAAUCAGCCGAUGCUACUUCUGUUCUUCACCCCAUGUAGCAGUCUGCCUCAACCCAUUGGUGCUGUGGAUAGUCACAGUAAGUUAUAUGUAUCCUUUACUUGUGAUGUGAAGAAGUUGCUCAACGAGGUUAGGAGCAAGGUACGAUCGCUAGCAAACGAGUUCUUGGCUUCUAGUUCUACUGUUCUACAUGACUAUGCUGUUAGUACCCUGAUUGCUGUUAUGAUGCCGCACAGCUCAAUUCGUUGAAUGCUCAUGUCACUAUGUCAGAGGCCUUGCCUGUUGCGUCAAUUUUAGGGCCGUUCGGUUGUUUUGCUGCUUUGCCUGGCCUUGCCUUGCCAGGCGAGCGAAUUCUUGCCGGCGCAAGCGAGCCGGAUUGGCUCUCCCGCAUUGGCAAGGUGAAACCUUGCUAGCACAGACCCCGAGAUAAACUAGCUGUUCUUCCAAACGCGCAGCCCUCGUCCCUAUCCUUGCUUAGCAAGGCUAAAUAGUACCCAGCAAUGGUUCCAAACGGCCCGAGAAUACUGUGGCAUCUUUCCAAUCUGGGCAGCGAUUGUGCAAGUCAAUUAUCGUAAUGAGAAUGACCAGUUUCCCCGGACCACAUGAAUGUCCCCAGCAUGAUGUGCGUCAGGCUUAACGCACUAUAGUCAGCAAUCUAUGUUUUCUUCGUAAAUUUGAGUAGCAAAAGUUGGGUUGAACCAUUAAGAAACAAGGAAACAAGUAGUGAUAACUUUGAACGGGAAAAAAAUUAUGGCCCAUGCAGGUCUCGAACCUGCGACCUUCGCGUUAUUAGCACGACGCUCUAACCAACUGAGCUAAUAGGCCGUUUUGAUACCUCGGAACAACAAUAAAUAUAAGUACCUUUUUAUAAUUGUAUGCACGUAGAAUCAGAAACUAUCAACGCUGCACGCCCGCUUGAGACUUGAGAGUGCUGGAUCCAACGAAUGCGAGGUCCACCGUAGCUCAGUCCUGGUCUCCUGGACCGUCUCUUGUUUGCUGCUUCGUGAUCGCCCAGCCGUGUAGGGCCAUGCCCAAAUUAUUUCCAAACCCGUCGAUGCUAAAUUUAUCCAUCCGACGCUCUCGCCGGCUCUUCUUGGCAACCCACUCCCUUCACGCCACGGUUAAACGCCCGGGCGGCGGAUACUAAUCCGGAGAGCUGGAGACUUGGAGAGGCAACAAAGCAAUCGCGCAUGUGCCGCAGAUGCCCAAAUGCGCGCUACACGGACGCGAUCGAUCGAUCCGGACCGCCCGGCCGGCGGAUCGCCUGCCCGUGCCGUGGUCCGUCCCCCCUGCUCUUGUACAUGGUCUGGUGUGUGAGGGUUUGUGUACUUGUGUCGAGUCGAUCACCGAGUAUCUCGGGUCUCUAGUUAAACGAGCAAUUUGUCAUGGACAUGCUUCGGGAUUUCAGGCCCCGGUCGCGGUCGGUACCCCCAAUUCCCCAAAUCAGAGAAACCAUGCAUGCCAUCAACUACGCGAAACAUACUGAUCUUGCGUGUGAUUUUACAAGGGAAUGUCUAUAUAUCACAUGGGUGAAAUUGAGACUCUCCUCGCUCGUUUUUUUGAGCCAUCAGAUCAUCAUCCAACGACUCACCUUCAUCUUCCACCUCCCGCCGGCUGUGCUUCUUCGCUGCCCGUCGUCCCCUCGUGCCUCUACCCGUCUAGCACGGGUGGGCAAAGGUCCUGCCAGAGCUUCGUGCGCGGCUGGAGUGCGCGGCCGCCUUCUUGCCCCUCCCGUCACCGCUUCCCGUCGUCGUCGUCCCCCCCCCCCCUCCUGCCCUAGCACCACCCAACCGCCCGCCACCACCGUCCUCGCCGGUGGCGCCCCCGCCGCCAUGCCUCACCGUCCCACGCCCGCCACCUCCGCCGGGCCGGCCUAUUGUCGCUGGCUUUCCCUCUAGGCCGCUGAUAAGCACCCACCCCGGAAACCUUGAACCCUUAAUCCUGGAAACCUCGAACCUCUAACCCUGGAAACCCCGAACCCUGACGCCCCUAAUCUCGUCGGAAUUUGGUCGGAGUCGGAGAAGGAAGGGAAAAUAGAGUGCAUAUCGGAAAAGAAAAAAUUGGAUGAGGAAGAGCUCUGUUUCACCCGGAUGAGCUACAGCCCUUCCUUUUUAGAAUGGCCACUAGGCACGGCUGGCAAGAGGGGUUUGACGCCACUUACGCGCACCGUGUGCGAUUUGCGAUCCGUGCCGGGGAGAAGCCGUGCGCGUGUGCGGCCUCGACCAUGUGCGCAGCGCCACCACUUCUCCUGCUUGGCUUGGCUGUCCUAUUGAAACAAGCCGGCCGGCCGGAUACCUCCCGCCUGCGCGCAGCCUCCCAAACGAGAGACACCGGAGGUGGUGCCGGUGCGCAUCUCCACGGAUCCCCGAUUUGUUUAACCAGCGUAGUGGUUGCGGUCGCAAGGCUACAAGCGCUACUGUACAUCCCGGAGCUUUUCGCGGAGCUGCCAGUGUGUUCCGCAUUGAGAAGAAAACCAGCUGCUGACCUCUAGUUUAUUUGUACUCGUAACAGAGCAACAACGGUCAUCGUCGAGGGAGCGGUUUGGCGUGUAGCGUGUCCACCCAUCUUGUGCUUGUGCGGAUCAAGGCCUGAACAAGAAAGAGUACUCUAAGGCGGAAUCGAUGGCGGUGAUUUGGCAGGGACAGUUUGCAUUGUUCAGAUGGCUACUACUGGUUUUAAAAUUCAAUCUGACAAAAGGGCGUGGCAGAGGGUGAGAGCGCCUGAAGUUGUGCAACGAAUUUAGUAAAGAGUGAUGCACUCACUAGUCACUAUAUACUGCAAAUGCAUACUAGUGCUUUUCUUCUUCUUUUUUUUUGAAAGAUUACUAGUGCUUUUCUGAUGGAUGAGGAUCGCGUAGAAGCAUUGGCGGUUGCUGGUGUCAGCAGCUGAGAAAUUGCCGCUGGUGCCUUGCCGUGCUCCGUGUCUCGCCAGGCCACGCAGGCAGAGACGGGACGAGGAUGCUGACGGCCAUUCGGUCUAUCCGACUAGCACAAUACGUCAAUACUACGCCAGUGUAGUUUCUAGAGUUUCUACGACUGCAAUGGCAUUUUCCAUGGACGCUUUCAGUCUCGGUGCCGUUUUAUUCAACUAUGACGGCAUCGCUAACAGAAUUUCAUGUCAUUUCAGAUUCCUCAGUCUGCCUGCCAGGCCAUUUACGAUCGAUUUUCACCGGACCGGCCCCUGCCGCGAUUUUACAGUAACCCCCGCUAUUCUUACCAAUUUACAGUAGCUGCCAUGUCCUAGCUAGCUAGCUGCUGCAGCUGAUAUUGCUCUCCUCGCUGCCGCUGCUGCCGUCCGCGUUGCUGUCACUGUGGUUGUUCUCCUCCGCCCGCCACGCGGACGCCGAGAAGAGCGGCCGCCCGUGCCACCCCAGCGUCAGGCACCCGUCGGCCUCCUCCACGCAGUGGCCCUCCCCGGAGAAGAGCCCCACCAGCAUCCUCGCCUGCCGCAGUGCGUUGGCCCCCAGCGGCACGCCGGCCAGGCCCGCGCGCCCCAGCCUGUCCCGCCACCGCCGCAGCGGCUCGUGCCGCUCCCUGCGCUCCGCGCCCUCGCCGCACACGAUGUCGCAUAUCUCGCGCUCCAGGUACGCCUCGGCCGCCGCGUCGCCCGCGCCGCCGCUCGCCGCGUCCAGGGAGUCGAACACCGCCGAGUAGUAGAAGAGCGCCUCCGUGAACCGGUCCAGGAACCCCGGCUUAUUGUGGUCCGCCUCCUGCUCCACCACCGUGAACACCCUGGGGCGCAUGGACGACACGCAGUCGAGGACGGCGUCGAUGGGCGCCCGGGCGUCGUCGGCCGCCGCGGACGGGUCGGCGACGAGGCGGUGGAGCUGGAGCACGGAGUUGACGGCGACGGCCUCGCCCUGCGACACCUGCAGCAUCCACGGGCGGAUCUCGUCGAGGCGGUUGGCGGCCACGCCGCGGAAGGAGAAGUGGACGCGCACGGAGCGCGCCAGGUCGGCGAGGCGGACGCCGACGUCGCGGAGGUCGUCGCGGCCGGGCGGGGAGGGCGGGCCAAUGCCGGUGAGGCGGAGGAACGGCGGCCCGCCGGGGCGGAGCGCCAGGGCCUGGAUCAGCGCGGGCCACUGGAGGCCCUGCAUGAGGUUGAAGUCGAUGAUGUGGACGUGCUUGCAGCCCUGGACGGCCUCCAGGAUGGCCUGGUUGGCCGUGAAGUGCGCGAACUUGAGGUAGGGCCCCGCCUCGUAGAAGUGGUGGUAGAGGAAGGCGUGGUCGGCGUCGGCGUCGGCGGCGGCGGGCUGGGGCGGAGGUGGCGACGGCGUGGGAGGGAACAGCCUCCGGGACAGCGCGGCGGUGAAGUGGACGGCGACGCGGCCGAUGCCGGAGCCCGGCGAGACGGCGGCGAGAGCGGCGUGCGCGUCGGCCAGGUGCGCGGACGCGCCCGCGUGGUCCCCGGCCUCGACGGCGCCGGCGCAGCUCAUGAGGAGGUGCACCAGGCGGAUGCCCGCGGCCUCCUCCUCCUCCCGCCGCAUCGCCGCCAGCGCCGCGGCGAAAUCGGGCAGCACCGCGGGCAUCGCCGCGUGCAUGUCCGCCGCCGCGUCCGCGUAGUACGCCACCCCGGCGGCGUCGGGCACCACGGUGGGCAGCGGCGGCAGGGAGACGUCGAGCCCCGGCUCCGCGGGCCACUGGAAGGGGAACGCGCCGCCCAUGGCCAUGGGUCGGUGGUGGGGGAGGCGGCUCGGUGGCGUGGGCGGUGACGCGGUCAGUAGAGUGACGGCGUCGCGCUUGGCGGGCGGUGAGUGAUGUGGAGGGGACUGAGGAGACGGGCGGGCGGGUCGCGGGGGGUUAAGGUGCGGGCAGGUGACGUCGGAAAGGCACGGGGAGGUCGGUUACACGUGGAGAGGCGGGCACGAGCACGGGGCGGGCGGGGACACGUAGGCCUCGGGAAGGAUUCUGAGGCCGGCGAGCGGACCGAGGCGCCGUGGGGGCGGCCUGCUCCUUCUGUCAAUUCCUGUUUCCUGAUCUUGUCUGCGGGGAUCUCAUCUCGGAGUGUGCAAUCUUGUAACCGCACCCAAAUUUUACUCGGAGUACUGUAUGAAGGCAGUAAGACUAGAGAGACUACCGCGCAACCCGUAGGAAGUUUCCUCACUGUCGCUGUACAAACCUUCCUCUCACGUCUUCAACUCGAGAAAGUAAAACAUAAGUUCCACGCACGCGUCGGAUCUUCGCACAGGAAAAUGCUUCGCACACGAUCUAUCAGUAGACCGUAGAGUUGAACACAUAAAUUUUAACGGCUCGUAUUUGUAUAAGCUUUGUGCUUUUAUGAUGGUAUAAAUAUAUAGUAAGGGAAAUUCAAGUAUUUUAUAACCCGCCAACACAUGAAUUCUUUCAUGUACGAGUACCUUGUUAAGCUAGUUUAUUUAUAGAGUGCUAGUUUAUUUGUAGAGUCAAUUUCACCUUAGAUUCUUAAACUAUUCCUGAGAUCUCAUCUAGGUUCAUGGUCUUUUAAAAUGGCCAUCUAGAUCCACAUUCUAAUAAAGAGUGAUUAUGGAGGUCCACAAAUACCCACAUAAGCGUGUUUUGCCUAUGUGGUAAUGUCAACGUGUCAUUUUUUAGAAAAUAUAUGGUAACAAAACUAGGGUAGUACAACAACGAAUAACACAUUUUUCCUCGCACAACAUAGAUUUUCAAAAUUGGAUGAUGAAAAAUCAAGUGUUGAAAGACAAUAAGGUCUUGUUUGUUUGAACUUCUUGGCAGCUUCUCAGUGUGAAAGAAUUAGAAUCUUAAACAAAACAAUGAAAUUCUCGUGCAGCUUUCAAAAAGUCAGAAGCCUAGAAAAGGCUGAGUUUUAUAUGAAAAAGUUUGGUUUUUUAGUUUUUCGUAGCAUUUUGAGUCCAGAAAACUAAACAUAUCUUCUAAAAGCUAUUGCAGGCUUUUCAUAACAAAAAACCAGCAGUAGCUUUUCAAAAAGCUUCAAAAAGCUCCAAAAGUUGCACCUCAAACAAACAGGUCCUAAAACACUGGAUAAAUCUAACGAGUGAAAUUGCAGGUUAGUUUUUAAACUCUAAGCCACUUAUGCUUUUUGGAGUUGUGCCAAACAAACCUGGAACCCUACAUUUUAAUUUGCCUCAACUAUUGGAUAACUCUAACGAGUGAAAUUCUGUUCAUAACAUUUUUAAUGGAAACUUUAUUAGUACUCGCACCAAUGUUGGUUUGCUUCUAGCAACAUUAAACUCUCUACUCUGGCGAAUGAUAAAAGAUACAUGUAGAAAUACAAUUCGGCUAAUGGCUGCUUAAGACAAUAUUUCUCAUGAUAUAUGCUUAAGUUUUACAUUUAUGCACAACAAACCCCCAUUUUUUCGAAGGCAUUGCCAAAGUAGUUAUUUGUAUUACUUUCAUAUAAUUGUAGAUUCAAAUAAUUUAGCUAAGCAUGUUGUUUUCACAUGUAUUUUGUUCUCUAUAGUUUAUCUAGAUAGAUAUGUGAAUCGCAAAGUUAUGUUGGGUAUGAACCCAGUGGUUGGUGGCUUGAUCCAUUCAAAUGUCGGUGACUAUUCAUGAUGGGCAAACUAGCUAGACUUAUAUAUGCUUUAUUCGUAAAGUAGAGAUGCAUAGGGCUUCCUCCUAUCACCCCUAUAUCUUGCCUCCUCGUUUUAGAUGAUAAAGUACAAAUUUUGUUAAAUGCUUUGAGUUUACGAGAUAUUUGAAAGCAAUUCUACUCACUAUAAGUAAUAUGUUCAUUUCUCUUAAUAUUUGCUUGUUUUUUUCCAAAAAAAGAAGUUAAAUGUUCAUUUUCUCCAUAAGCGUUAUCUUUUCUUGGCGGAGAGUUGGAGUUCGUUUCUAGGGAGUAGCUAGCUAGGUGAAUAAAUUUUGUUUUGGAAGAUGCUAGGUGAACAACAGAUGAACUCCAGUUAGGUCACCGGCUAGCAGAGGAGCAUGAGAGACAGCAGCGGCUUGCUCCCUCACCCCUCGCUCUCCCACUCCUGCUCCACGCCUGCUGCUCACCAUGAUUGAUGGUAAUUCUCCCCCUUAUCCUUCCAAUGGAUCUGCCAUCACUGGGUUUUCAACCUGGCAGAGUCUUCAGUGAAAAAAUUGGCAAGCGGUACGGUUUUUCGGUUAACUCUAUUGGGAAACUAGCAAGUUUGGACUUUCUCUUGCUAGUAUCUUUAAGUUGAAAUAAAUUCAGGCUCACUGAGGAAUCUAUUGGAAUCUACCUUCAAUCUGUUAUAGGAGGCUUUGCUAACUGUUUUUUAGUGCAUCAACUGGAUCAACAGGUUUUCAGAUUUGCUGUCUCUUGCAAACAAGUUGGUUUUGUUGUUUUGGGGCUCAACUCUUUUUCUUCGGUGGAUUUCAAGUUGGCUUUUCUUCUCUGCAAUGAUGCUAGCCUUGCGAAAGCUUUAGCAUUCUCCAAGUCUGAUUCAGGGCCCUCUUUCACCUAGGAAGAAGUUCAUUCGAAGAAAGGCAAACUCUCUUUUGCGGAUGUAGCCAGAGCUCCCCCUCCACCUCUCUCGGGAGCAAAUGCAGUUUUCCUGGGAGCUAAUGUUGCUUGGAGGAUCAAGAAUCAUUUGCAACGUUCAAGUUCAUAUCAUAUUGGCUCAUUUCAUUCUCAGUCGAGGCCUUCUGUUUUUCAGAGAAUUUCUUUCCCUCGCAAAUCGGUUUUUCAGCGUCUGGAAUUUGGAAAUUCACGGGAUAAUUUUCAAACUUCAAAAGGUCAACGGGCUGCAUUGGUUCAUGGGUCAAAAAGCCUAGCUUUCACGAGGCCCGGUACUGUUGCAGGGUUUCCCAUUUACCGUCUAAGGUGUUUAUCUCCCAACCAUUCAAGGAACGAUUGUCGAAGCUUGAUUAAGUGCUGGCACUGCAAACAACUAGGUCACGUCCUAAACUCUUGCUCACUUUUUUCACGAUCUCCAAAGGUUGAAGCAAUUAAGUGGUUGCUCAAGGAGCUGUAAAUUUUUUCCCGCUCUCUCGGUUGGCCUCCCAACGCUGGGAGCUCAUGGUUUAGGAACCCCAGGCUAUUGACUCAUGGGCCUAGCACAAUUGGGCCUCCGUGUUUUGCCUCCCUUGUUGAGUUUGGCUACUCUGUACUUAGCAUUCCAAGGGACAUUGCCCCUUCGUCUUCCUCGGCUCCCCCUCCUUCAUCCACACCAAACCCCAGUGAGGAACCUAAGCAAGAAGACGGUGGAGGUGAUCCUGCACCCUCACCCUCGACGAUGGCCUUCCUCAACAUCGACCCCACACCUAUGCUCCUCCCGGGUUUCAACAAAGUCUUGGUGGAAGGCAGAGAGAAGUACAUUAGGGUAGUCACUCCAAGGGCGCGAUAGGGCAACAAUGAUCUCGCAAUCGUCACCGUCUCCAAUCUGCCUCCCGGUGAGAUACCCUUUGCUGACCUCCGCAACAUCAUCCUAUAGCUCUUGGUAGAUGAGUAUGGUUUAGCAGUUAAGGAAGUUCAUAGAUGCCUCUUUGGUAGAGGUCAAGCUAUGUUCAUUUGAAUCGUGUUUCUGAUAGAGAUAUGUUGGUCCAUCAUAGUCCCCAUCAACUCCAUGGAAUGAACCUAGAUUUCAUCAAUCAUAAUAGAGGGGCAAAUGCUUGAAGGGUUGUUUUCAAUACAGAGUGUUGGCUCAUGCUUAUUGGUUACCCUCCAAAUGAUCAUUCUGUUGAGGACAUUUCAGAUGCAAUCAAAUCUUUUGGCAGACUAAUUGUAUGACAGAAAGAUAAUGUCCUGGCAAGAAUCAUUAUCAAAGCUCGCGUGACUGAUCUAGUGGAUGUACCUCACUACAUUAUUAUGUCAGAAGGUGAUAAUUCUGAGGGGGGCAUCCUUAACUGUCCAAUGUGAGAUUAUUCAUCAGAAUAUGUUAGGAGGCCUGCUGCAAGAUGAAGACAUUCCACCUGGUGGUCUUGAUGAUAACUUUGUCUUCCUUGGUUUUGGAGUUAACCAAGUGGAUCAGCAGUUUGAUCAAGAUCCAGCUUCCCUCAGCCACAGGCCUUGGAAAAUAAGGGCAAUGCUGACCAGCUCUUACCUAAUCUAAAUCAGAAUCCAGAUGAUCAUGUUCAAAAAGAGGACCAAGCCUAGGAAGUGGAUAAUGAUCAAGAAGAGGACAUUCAUAAACCUCCUGAAACCAUGAAACUAGAAGUGCAGCAACAAGUUGAGCUGGACCUGCAGCUCAGUCUGCCAGCUCCCCUAGGUUCCUCCUCCAACUCAACCAUUGCAUCCUCAGACACUUCUCCUAAGACAAAUGAGGAAAUCCAAGCUACAGUCCAAUCACAGCAGCAGGUGAAUGGACUUAAUAACCAUAAAGAUGAACAAGCAGAAGAGCAAUUGAAUGCUGAGGUGGUGUUUGCUUUACCUGCUAUUCCUCAAGGACAGGUUGGUCAUAGCAUUGUUGAACCAGUUAACAUCAUGCCCCAGGAAGGUGAAGGGGAUCACAUGGACAUUGAUCAAAAUCAUCACGAUCGCCUCCAAGAGUUGGCUGCUCCAAUCCUUCCAGUUCACAAUCAGCAAAAUCAAAUUCAAGAGUUGGCUGCCCCAGGACAUGGCAAUGAUCCAGUUAUUAAUUUGAACUUGAACAUCAACAUGGCCCUCACCAGCUUUGACAACUUCCAGUCCAUGGAUCCAAAGCCCUUUGAUUUUUUUGGAUCAAUGAUGCCAGCAAUCCAAAGCCUGAUCUCUAUAGGCUUUGGGCCAAACACUUUUCUCCAGUGGGCUGCCCUGAGCAUGUGGUCCAGAUCCCAAGGAUUGGGCCUCUUUCUUUACUGUCAUGCCUUUAUCACCAAACCAGUUUGAAUGGGCUAAGAAGUUCCUAUCUUCUCAGGCUUAGAGAGUCAUGUUAAAAUGCACUGAUUUGUCAGCAAUGAUGUCAUUUUACCCUGGCAGCUGAUUGCCCUGAAAAUGCUGAAGUUAAAUGCUCUCCCCCUAAGGAGUUCAUGGAUAGCUCAUCUGUCAAUGAAUCAUUUGAUACCCCCCUUUUGGAUGAGGAAUCUCUCAAGAUGAAUGCUAACUCUGAUGAAACACCACCUACCAGUACAAGGAAAUCUCGUAGGUCCACUCCUGUGGUGGAAACUGAAACAAGAAGGGGUCUAAGAAUUAGAGACAACAACAAUGACUUUAAGCAUGAUAGUUGUACUAGCAGAAACUGUAUGGUCUGUGCUACGCAACCCCCAGCCAUUCCAGCUGCAACUCUUAAGAACAUUGGUGAAUCUGUGUGCAAAAUAACACCUGGUGUGUUAUCAGCUGAUACCAUACUCAAUAAGAACAAGACCAAGAAACCAGUUGGAGACCAGAAGACUUCAAAGAAGGUGAUCUCCUCUAAGAAGGAAAAGGGCAAGAGCAAGCAAGAAGAUAAUGAUCCCAAUGAAGCAAACAAGAAAGGCAAGAAGUAAUCGGUCACUAUGUGUCCUAGGUGUGUGUAGUUUCAUAGUUCUGGGGACCCAUCUCCCUCUUUUGUUGAUCUAUAUGGAUUCUGGUGGUUUGUGCACCUUAAGGGUGACUUUUAAAACUCUAGUGAACUGGUUUAUCGGUAUGAUGGGAUUUCUUUUCUGUUUGGUCUGGUUCCUCAAAGCCUCUUUGUUGUGAUGUUUUAUUUGCAUUUAGUUGUGUGCUGUGCACCCAGCUUUUUUCCUCGCUUCCCAUGUCUCAUAAAUGAAUCAGAAUCAAAAUAGAAGAACCUGAACAGUUCUAUACUGGAACAUAAGGGGAAUCAAUUUAGAAGGCAAGUGGGAUACCAUUAGAAGCAAAAUUAUUGAAUAAAACAUGAUGUUGUAUGUUUACAGGAAACUAAAAAAGGAAUUCUUUAAUGCUCAGUUCAUUAAAAAAUUUUGUCCACACAGCUUUGACUCUUUUCAAUCUGUACCCUAUGUUGGAGCUUCAGGAGGAAGCAUCAUUCUAUGGAAUAAUCUGAAAUUUAGUAGUCAACUCACUUUUCAAAACAAUUAUGCUCAGUCAGUGGAAUUUCAGUGUCAACUAUCUGGGAAAAAUUGGAUCCUAACCAAUAUAUAUGCUCCUUGUACUCCUGAAGGGAAGCUGGUUUUCCUAGAUUGGUUUAAACAAAUUGAAAUGCCUGAGGAUUUCACAUGGCUUAUCGUUUGUGACUUCAACCUAAUUAGAUCUCCAAGUAAUAGAAAUAAACCGGGUGGGAAUAUUCAAGAAAUGCUGAAAUUCAAUGAAGCAAUUAGCAGACUGAGACGGGUGGAAAUACCUCUUAAAGGCUAUAAGUAUACAUGGACAAAUAAACAACAGAACCCAUGAGAGAACUUGAAAGGUUAGGAAUAGAGAUAAAAUCCCAUGAGCCAAAAAUGUCACUUCAAGCAAUUCAAAUUAAGCCAACCUUGCAAGAGGAAAUCUUAGACAAACAAUUAGCUGACACAACUAUGCAAACUCUAAAGAAAAAUAUAGUAGAAGGGAAAGUUAGUGAAUUCAGAAUUGAUCAACAGGGUCUAAUACGGUUCCAAAAUAGGUGUGUCUCCCAAAUUAUGCUACACUCAAAAAUAAAAUUUUACAAGAAGCCCAUUCCUCCCUUUACACAAUCCACCCUGGGAGCACAAAGUCUGCUCAUUUCCUACCGGUUAAAAGAACAUAUUCCUUAAAAAAAUAUGCCAAGCUUUAUAUCCAACAAAUAGUAUCUUUGCAUGGGGCCCAAUAAAAAUUGAAUCUGAUAGAGAUCCUCGUUUUGUUUCCGUUUUUUUGAGAAGCUUACUUAAGUCACUUGGAACAAAUCUAGAGUUUAGUACAACAUAUCAUCCCCAAACCGAUGGUCAAACGGAAAGGGUCAACUAAAUCAUAGAGGAUAUGCUUAGAGCUUGUGUUCUUGAAUUCAAGGGAGCAUGGGAUGAAUAUUUACCUCUAGCAAAAUUUACUUAUAAUAACAACUACCAAGCUAGUAUUCAAAUGGCACCGUAUGAAUCUCUGUAUGGGAGAAGAUGUCGAUCACCUAUUUGUUGGGAUGAAGUUGGAGAAAGGAAAAUGUUAGGACCUGAAAUAAUACAAGAGUCUGAAGACAAAGUAAAAGUCAUCAGAGAACGAUUGAGGAUAGUCCAAAGUAGAUAAAAGAGCUAUGCCGAUAAUAAAAUAAGGAAGCUUGAGUUUGAUAUAGGAGGACUAGUAUGUCUAAAAGUGCCACCAAUGAAAGGAGUAAAUAAGAAACUAAGUUCAAGAUAUAUAGGACCAUUUUCAAUUAUUGAGAAAAUUGGAGAAGUGGCAUAUAGACUAGAACUACCAGAUUCACUUGCAAGAAUUCAUAGUGUGUUCCAUGUGUCAAUGCUCCAAAAAUACCUUCGUGAACUAGAAGAAUAUAUUGAAAUACCAAGAGAACAACUACAAGAAGAUUUAACCUAUGAAGAGUAGCCAACACAUAUCCUUGAUACAAAGGAGAGAGAAACAAGACGUAAGACCAGUCGAUUCUUCAAGAUUCAGUGGAGCAAUCACUCAAAAGAUGAGACCACAUGGGAACAAGAAGAGGAUAUAAGGAAAACCUAUCCAUACCUAUUCCAAAUAUGAAGGUAUAAAUUUCGAGGAAUAAAUUUAUUAAGGAGGAAAGACUGUAAUAAUCUAAAAAAUGUAAAUACAUAUGGACCAUUGUGUAAUGUUUAGAUAUUAGACUGCAGUUUUGCUCAAGCCUGCAACUGCAAAAUCGCAAAACCAAGUCCAGAACUGUGUUGAAUAGUAUAUACGAUGUUUGUGCUGUAGCAAUAAAAUAAAUUAAGGGAAAGAAAGGAGAUAAGAAGGAGAUGUAGCUUGCAGUAGUAAAAAAUAAUAAUAAAAGAAGGUCCUGGACACUAUAAGCUUCCUUAGCUCCCACGUAUCCCAGCAGAUAGAGAUUAGAAAACUCAACCAUGGUAGAAAUUAACCCAACCAUGAUCAAGUCUUGCAGUAUAUAUACAGCCCUCUCCUCCACUCACAGUCUGCACAAAAAAUUCUCAAAAACCAAAGCACAAUAGGGUUGGGAGAGAUCAAGGGAAAUCUGAGGUUUGGAAGUAAUCUUGUUGCUAAAGUAUGCACCUUUAACAGAUUUACUUUCUUACUGCUCUUGAUUUCUGUUCUUUUCUCCCUGUUCCUGCUAGUUCUCUUAAGUCCCAUACAUGUCCAGUACUAGUGCUUGUUUGUGUAUAGCCUUUGCCUUGCUUCCCGUAACAAGCUGAGUUAGUUAAACUACAUGUUCCCAGUCAUGCUUGUAGUAUUUUAAUAUAUAUAGUCAAUCACACACAAGGGCACACCGUACUUGGCAACUAAAUUAACUAAACAUUGUACUUACAUGUUCACUGAUAAAUGAUGUUAGUUGAUGAACCAUGGUCCUGAUGCCAGCAUCAUUGCUUCCGGCAAGAACUUAGUACUCUGGAUGAAUGCAUGAGUUCAGAGCUCUGUAAUUAGAAUAAAAUAACCGAAGAAAACAUGUUUGACCUUACUAAAAUCUGAUGACUAUUUUACAUACAAAAGAACAUCUAUAUAGAUUGUCACACUUGAUGUUGCUUGAACUGAACUGAUGAAUACAUGCACAUGGUAUUGAUCUAAAUAUUACCCAGUUUGUAGUAUUGAUGAAUAUGUGCCCACUUGAUGAAAUGUCAACAUUUAAUAAUUACUCUCACUAAUUAAGUUGAAUGCUAAAGACUGUAAUAAUUUAAUUGAAACUCAUCCAAUAUGUUAGGUCCUGAUUGCAAGGAGGACAAGGAAGAACACAGUGAACCAAUCAAGGCAAGCUGCGCAUAUCAGAACCUAUUAAAUCAUGACAUAUGUAACUAAAUAUGAGAUGAUAAUUAAAAACUGAACUCUAGUCAUCAUAAUUUGGGAAAUGAAUUGUUUAUUACUUAGCCUGGGACAACCAAUCCUUAAAACUGUGAUAUGCAGCAAGGCUGGUAUCUGGGUGAGAUAGGCAUCCUCACUCAAGUAGAGGAUAUGAUGUAGGUUUCUCAAAGAUGGGGUAAUACUAUAAGGUGGAAAUUAUGGUGGCUUAAUGAAUACUUCUCCGUAGAGAAAUACUAAAGACUAUGAACUAUUAUUGUCCCUGUUUAUCUUUUAAUGCCAACUCUCCUGUGGUAAGUAGGAACAUAUGUUCAGAACUUAACUUGCUGAGUAUGGUAACAUGCUCAUUUGCUUGCUUGUGUUUUACUGAUAUGCGUAGAAAUGAAAGAAGAGGAAGGUGUGGUCGGGAUAGGGAGUGAUGACUAUGAACAACAGUAGCUGUAGUUUAGUUUCUAUCACAAUAAAAUUGGUGAUUAGUACACCAAUGCAACUCUUGUAUGCUUGGAAUCAUGAAUAAAGAAUGAAUGUCACUUUAGUUAAGAUGAAACUACUAUUCCAUAUUGCCUUGUACCCUUAUGAACUGCAAGUGUUUACAAGUGUACGGCGGCUGCCAUCUCCAAGUUUAUGUUUAGGGUGUGACAACUAUCAGAGAUGAAUUUGGCCAGGAACAUAGAGGACAUGAGGAAAAGGUAAAUCUCUUGUGAAAUGCCUACAAAGACACGAUGGGAACUACUGAAUUUACACAUAUGUACUUUGAUUUGGAUGAUCUGCUUGUCCCAAAUCAAUGAGUUAAACUAGUUGGAGGAACCCUUCACUAAGGAAGAAAUUGACAAAAUUAUUGCUGAUCUCCCAAACAAUAAGUCACUUGGGCCGGAUGGCUUUAAUCGGGAAUUUUUGAAAAAAAAACGCUGGCCUCUAAUCUCACAAGAAUUUUAUGAUCUUUAUGAACAAUUUUUUGAUAGAAAUAUAUGUGUGAGAAGUAUUAAUAACUCAUACAUGACAUUGAUACCUAAGAAGGAUCGCCCUUUAUUUGUUGGGAUUUUAGGCCAAUUUUGCUCCUAAAUUCAUCCAUCAAGCUAAUCACCAAAAUCUUAGCAGACAGGCUGCAACAAUUGAUUCUCAGAUUAAUCCACCAAAAUUAAUAUGGAUUAAUUAAAAGCAGAUCCAUCCAAGACUGCUAGUAUGGCCUUUGAAUAUCUACACAUUUGCAAGGCUUCCAAGAAGGAGAUAGUGAUCCUAAAACUUGAUUUUUGAAAAAGUCUUUGAUAAAAUUGAGCAUCAAGCCAUUAUGGAAAUUCUCAAAUACAAAGGAUUUGGUGGUUGAUGGAUUGGUUGGAUUAAAGACAUAUUGAGCUCAAGAACCUUCUUCAUUAUUCUGAAUGGUGUACCAGGGAAAGUAUUUCACUGCAUAAAGGGUGUCCGACAAGGAGAUCCCCUCUCACCAUUACUCUUUGUCCUUGCUGCAAAUUUGUUACAAUCCAUAGUUAACAGAGCCAAAGACCAAGGUUUGCUCACAUUGCCUAUCCCUAAAAAGGCUGGUGAUGAUUUUCCAAUUAUUCAGUAUGUUGAUGAUACUCUACUAGUUAUGGAAGCCUGUCCUCAGCAGUUGGCAACCCUUAAAGAAUUAUUAAACUCCUUUGCUAAUUCUACUAGGUUAAGGGUUAACUACAGCAAGUCAGUCAUGGUACCACUGAACAUCUCUGAAGAAAAAUUUGAAAGCCUAUCGGUCGCAUUUAAUUGUCUCAAAGGCAACCUCCCAUUCACAUAACUUCGUCUUCCUCUAGGGACUACAAAGCUAGGCAUAGAAGAAUUCCUACCUCUGAUUCAGCGAAUUGAAAAAAAGGCUUACAUGCACCUCGACAUUCCUCACCCAAGGAGGAAAAUUGGAAAUGGUCAAUUCAGUGCUUUCAUCAUAUGUAGCUUUCUACAUUUCAACCAUGAGGCUACACAAAGGAGUCAUCAAGUAGAUAGAUAAAUACAGGAAACAUUGCUUAUGGAGUGGGGCGGAUCUAAAUUCAAAGAAGCCGGCCAAAGCUGCUUGGCCUAUGGUCUAUGUACCAAAGAAGGAAGGAAGACUAGGAGUCAUAAAACUCUCAGUUCACAAUGAUGCUCUUCUACUCAAGUUCUUACACAAAUUUUUCAACAGGGCCGAUAUCCCUUGGGUUUACUUAUUAUGAGGAAAUUACUAUUCCAAUUGUAAACUGCCUGGAUAAUUCAAAAAGGGAUCCUUCUGGUGGAAAGACAUUAUCAAGCUCCUUGACUCCUUCAAAGGACUUGCUUCUGUUGUUAUUGCAGAUGGCUCCACUGUCUUCUUCUGGACUGACAUCUGGAAUAACAUUGUACCCUUAAUGGCAUUCCUAGAACUUUUCUCUUUUGCCAAGAACAAGUUCAUCUCAUACAAGACUAUUGCAAAUCGGCCAAACCUUAUUCGGAACUUUCACUUACCUCUCUCAAUUCAGGCGCAUCAACAAUUUCAUGAACUGGAGGAGAUAUUACUAAGUAAUUUGCCAUCGACUGAUAAAAAUCAGUGGCAAUACAUAUGGGGUAAUCAUAACUUCUCAGCAUCAAAGGCAUAUAAAGCUCUCAUUGGACACGGUUCAUCCAACCUUCCUAUGGAUAUGGAGAUCAAAAUGCCAAAUGAAGCAUAAGGUGUUCUUCUGGCUAUUUCUCAAGGAUUGACUCAGUAGAGACCUAUUAAGAAGGAAAAACAUGGCUCUAGAUUCGUAUGUGUGUGGACUCUGCAUCCUCCAAAGAUUGCAAACUGUUACCCACCUCUUCCCAAGGUGCAAUUUUAUCAUCUUGAUAUCGUGGUGCAUCUGGACGACUAGGAAUGAUUGGUUGUUCAACAAUGAAGAUCACUCGGUUGAUUCCUGUAGAAGGAAAUACGAAUUCUCUCUUGUUAUGCUAAGAGUAAGCCUAGUUCUGAACCUGCCAUGUCAGCUUGGAUCGAUAGUCUGUAAUUUUCCUUUGGCUAUUUCCCUUUUUUUUCAUGUUUACUUAAUUUUUAGUCUGUAACUUUAAAAGUAGUAGGGGCUUGCCCCUCCUGUUCCUUAAAAAAAAUCAAGAAUUAACUUAUGUCGCGAGUAAGGAGUAAUACUGAAAACCCUAAAACCAAUACACAUGGGUUCUUUUUUCCCCCUUUUUUGUGCGCUCACUUAUCAGAAUUUUGGUCAUACGGGUCCAGGGGCACGUCAGGGCGUCGAGGUCGUUAGCCUCGGAUGCAGCCGUGGUCCUAAAAGGGCAGAACAGAAAUGAGGGGGCUGGACCCAUGGAUCAGGUGGUCCGGAAUGCGUCGUUGCACGGGGGUACCCUCCUGUAACAAGAAUUUGCCGAUAGGCGAACGCCACCCGUACUUAACCUCCUGCAAAUGCUUGCAUUAUCCUCAAUAAGGAAUUAAGGAUCCCUUGCAGCACUGCCGAAAGCACAAGCUCACCUAAUCAAGCUUAUGUAGGUUUUGUCAGUUUGGCACCCAUGGAACACGCCGUCCGUACCCCAGCAGGAGCACAUGGCACCAACCAAAAUGAUUUCAACAACCGUUUCCACAUCUGAAAAUCCGGCCACGGGAGAGACCUCUGAAACUGGCAAGACUUUACGCAAAGCUUCCCGUCGAGGACGGCUCCGAAACUGUGAAAUGUUUCCGUCUGCGAGCUGGAUCUCGAGCGAUGGGGAGGAGGAACGUGCGCUCUGAAUAUUUUUUGCACCAGGCAGGUGACGCCCCGAUCGAUCGAACGGGGGCGGGUCGCCCUCGCCCUCUUUCUUUCUCUUCCGGAAAACGAGGCCCGCUCGAUGGGGUGGCGUAUGGCAAGCGAGCAGGCUGGAAGAUGCUCCCGUCUGCGUCGAGGCGGCGAUGGUCCCCGAGACCUUUGCGUUCUGUGCUGCACGGCCGGAGCGGUCCUCGUUUGUUGGUUCAGUCGGUUGCGGCUCCCUUUCUGCUGUGAGAAACUUUUAGUUUUUUCUUUCAACAAUUGUAUUGCCUGAGAGGGUAACAGACGGUUUGGUUUGUAAAAGUUUCAGGGAAGAGCAGGGGUGUGUUAGAUGUGCUAAGUCUAUCAACUUGCCGUAAAAUCGUGGUGGCGCUUCCAACCUGUCCGUGAGCGGUCGCCAUCGGUUUUGACAAAGCGGCAACCUGCUGACUGUGAUGAGAUGGAGAGGCGCUAGAAAUGAAGAGAAACCUCCUUCUAUACUGAGAGGAUAGCUGCAAGCUGCUAAUUGUCUCUCUGAAAUGUAUGAAUUAGAAAGCACCAUCACCUGCUAAAGAUUUGAAAACGCGGUUGCGUUUAUAUAUAUGAUUUAUACGAAAGAGCGCUCAUCACGUGCGUGUGCGCGAGAGGAUGAGGUUAAUUAUUUGAGCUGUGUUUGCUUUCCUGUGUAUGUGGGAGGAAUGCAUGAUAAGGAUUUCGUGAGUUCACUCUCAUGUUCCAAACAUAUAUUUUGUACAGAAAAAGAAAAUCAACGAUUAGGAAAUUUGAACUCUCCAAAACUUUUCAGCGAAUGUUGUGCAUAAAGGUGGCCCUUAGGGUGUAUUGUGUGCAAUAUUAACAUCGCAAGAUGGAUUGCGUCAUUUGUAUCAUGCGUUAAUCGACAUUGUAACACUAAUGGCAUACGGUUGCACAUUAUAGCUACGAUGAAACAUGGAGUGCAGGAUGAAACAGAUCAGCUCAAAUACAUUGUGCAUGAGUCGAUGACGAUACAAAAGUUGAAAAACUCAACUCCAAGACGCAGAGCUAUGCAGGGUCGACGGGUUUCAGUCGUGUCCACGAUAAUCAGAUAUUCAGACAGUGGCAAUACGGAUUAUCAGAUAUUCAGACAGAGGCAACACGGAUUGUUGGUUCAACGUCCUAAAUCAGACAGAGCUUAUCGGUCUGUGUGCUGUCCAUUUCCCUGUGGUACUAGUACUGCUACUGUACAACAUCACCAGAAAAAAAUACCUACUGGCAGCUGCCAGCGGCGAGCACGAGUCACCGAUGAGUAAACGAGGCAGCGAGCGAGUGAAAGCAUGACCAGACAAAAGCAGCAUCGGCGGCGGUGCUAAUCCGAAUAUUAGCAGUAAGUAUCACUCAACCUGCUGUUACUGUGAGAAAAGCGCGUGUCCUAUCGGAGUAGUAACAUCAGAUUAGGUGCCGAGUUACCAUCACGGCGCACGACGCCAUUGGUGUGGUCAUCCAUCGAUCCGUCCAUGCUUUAAUAAUGAUACGAACAGUUCUAGCUUAAGCUAGGGAUUUUUUUCAAGAGAUGUGACCUUCAGUCGUCAGAAGAUUGGUCUCUGACUCUCUGGUUAAGUCAUUCACCCCCCUUAUUCAGGCCUUUUCUUUUGCAACUAACGAAAGUGAAGUAACUUACGGGGCGUUUUCUUCUCGUGUCUUAUUUUUAGCACGUGUCACAUCGAAUGUUUAGAUACUAAUUAGGAGUAGUAAACGUAGACUAUUUACAAAACCAAUUACAUAAGUGGAAUCUAAACGGCGAGACGAAUCUAUUAAGCCUAAUUAAUCCAUCAUUAGCAAAUAUUUACUGUAGCAACACAUUGUCAAAUCAUGGACUAAUUAGGCUUAAUAGAUUCGUCUCGCCGUUUAGAUUCGUCUUAUGUAAUGGGUUUUGUAAAUAGUCUACGUUUAAUACUCCUAAUUAGUAUCUAAACAUUCGAUGUGACGGGUGCUAAAAUUUAGCAAGUGGAAGAAAACAGGUCCUUAGUCGCAUUUCGACUUCAAUGCUCAAGAAAAAAGAUUCGUAUCCAAAUUCAUAUAGAAUGCUUGAGAGCCCAUGGAAGCUUCCUUUCCCACCCGUGUUACCCUUUUGGAAUAUUUUCAAGUCUUGCAUUUGAGUAGAAUUCUAAGUGCCUGGAACAAUCCAAUCUCGUGUUCUGUAUAUAUGCAUUACGAAGUGAGGUUACAAAGAGAGUUUCUUUAUGUCUCUGAAAAGGUACCAGAGUUAAUUAUAACACAGAAUUGAUACAGUUUUUAUUAUUUUUCAUGGAAUGUAAAAAAAUCCCACCUACGAUAGCCACUGAAAUAUCCAAUUUGCAGUAAGGUUUCACCAAAAAAAAAAGGAAAAAGAAAAU
rnacentral:lncRNA from 1 species